UUGCAAGCAGCCCUUACAUCUCCCAAGGAAUCUGAGAGCAAUGAAGCAGUCGAGGCCAGUUGAGGGUGGAAAUAAAGUGUCUGAUGCACCUAGAGAGAAGCAGGGUAACCGCAAAGGUGCGAAGUCAUCUGAGCCAAGCAAAAAUACUAAUGAUGGUGCUCGUGCCAAGCAAGCGACCUUGAAGACUGUUCUUGGAGAGGCACUGGGUUAUGGGCCUGCACUUUCUGAGCAUAUUAUUUUGGAUGCUGGUCUGAUUCCAAACACAAAAGUUACUAAGGAUAGCAAAUUUGACUUUGAUACAAUUCAGCGUUUAGCCCAAUCUGUUGCUAAGUUUGAGAAUUGGCUAGAAGAUGUUAUCUUAGGUGAUCAAGUUCCUGAAGGUUAUAUUUUAAUGCAGAAUAAAAUUUUUGGAAAGGACUGCCGCCCAUCUCAACCAGAUCGUGGUAGCCAGGUUGUGGAUGUGUUUUUUUUAAAUUUAUGUAUGCUAAUCUAGAGCAGAACUGUCAUUUCCUUCCCUUUUUGCUUUGAUAUGAUAUAAUCAAGUUCCACAUAUGUGUGAAUGUAAACAUGUUUGUUUGGUUUACCAUUAGAAUAGUGUUAUUCAUUAUGUGUUUUAAUACCCUUUGCAGAUCUAUGAUGAAUUCUGCCCAAUUUUAUUGAACCAGUUCAAAUCAAGGGAGUUUGUAAAAUUUGAGACUUUUGAUGCUGCAUCGGAUGAGUUCUACAGUAAAAUUGAGGGUCAACGAUCAGAACAACAACAGAAGGCAAAAGAGGUCUCUGCCAUGCAGAAACUCAGUAAAAUAUGCAUGGAUCAGGUCUUUAAAUUAUUGUCUGAUAUUUGAAGCCAAUAGAAUCAUUUCCUUCUUUUAAGAAGAGUGGUUUCACAUACUUUCUAGCCUUUCAGCUAGUUGCUUGCUUGCAACUAUGUUAUAGUGACUUGGGCUGCAAGCAAUGAGAAUCUAGCCAAUGCAUCAGUGGUUGUAUGGGCAUGCUAUGGUCAUUCUCUCUUUACAUGUCAAAAGGUUCUCUGCUAGAAAUAUUAUUCAGUAUUUUAUGAUCAUUGCCAUGUGUUAUAGUCUUUCAACUUGAUGCUGUAGGAAAAUCGUGUGCAUACACUGAAGAAAGAGGAUGACCGCUGCAUUAAAAUGGCAGAAUUGAUAGAAUAUAACCUAGAAGAUGUUGAUGCUGCCAUAUUAGCUGUCCGUGUUGCUUUGGCAAAUGGUAUGAAUUGGGAGGAUCUUGCCCGAAUGGUGAAAGAAAAGAAAAAAUCUGGAAAUCCUGUAGCUGGCCUCAUUGACAAGCUUUAUCUUGAGAGAAAUUGCAUGACACUGCUGUUGAGUAACAACCUUGAUGAAAUGGAUGAUGAUGAAAAGACACUUCAUGUGGAUAAGGUGUGGUGGCAUGAUGCAAUUUUUUUUUUUUUUUUGCAUCUUACUGCGUCAUAAUAACAAAACUGCUUAUGUUUACUUCCAUUUGAAGGCAUUCAUGCAGAUUCUAAAUUACCAUUAAGCUUAUCUUGUUGGAUGUGACAUAUGCUAAUUUCCACUCUGGUUCACACCUGUCUGAUCAAACAAAUUACAGAUCAUGUAAAGCCCAUAUCUUUAUUCUUCAAACUUGUCAUCUCUUUUCUUUUCACUUUCUAGGUAGAAGUUGAUUUGGCACUUUCAGCACACGCCAAUGCUCGGCAGUGGUAUGAACAGAAGAAAAGGCAGGAAAACAAGCGGGAAAAGACUAUUAUAGCUCAUGAAAAGCUUUUAAAGCUGCUGAAAAGAAGACUUGCAUCCAGCUUUCACAGGUAGCUGAACAUUGCAGUUGUUUUUCCCCUUUGAUUUAUUUUGUACUGAUGCUAUUUUCAAAUUUUUGAAUCAUUAAAUGCAGCUGGUCCUGAGUUAUUGGCCCUUGGUAUUAUGUUACAUGUGUGCUGUGAGGAGAGUUAGUACUUAACCAUAUCUUUGCUGAACAUUCACAGGAAUGGAUGAUUAGGACCUAAGUUGAAUGUUUAUUAGCAUCUAGUUUGAUUUAAAUGAUUUGAACAACAUGGUACCCUUUGUAUACUUCCUGUGUACCUUGUUGCGUUCUUUCUUUGGCACGUGUUUAUAAUAUCUCACCAUUACUUAUAAAAAAACUAACAACACACUUGCCUCUCAGCACCAGAAGAAUUAUGAAGCAUUAUUUUAGUUUUGUUUUUAAUUAUUGGUUGAGCUUAAAUGAACCAUUAAGUUGUCUUUUCUCAAUGGUCAAGUGUCUGAAUUUUCUCAUCUAUAAUUGUGCUGGAAAAAACCGUUGCCACAAUUUCACACAUGUGAAAAGUUAACUGGUUUGAGAAAUUUAAUUGGUUCAUCAGCAGUAAGAAUUAUUUUGUUAUCAGUGGACGUGAUGCUCAACUGAACGAGAUGAUUGUCAAGCGUUAUAUGUCAAAAGGGGACCUAUAAGUAGAUUUUCUCCAUUAAUAAACAAAUUAACUCUUAAGAAGAGAAAAAGGGCAAAAACCUUUAUCUGUAUGGGGAAUAUAUCAAGGGGAAAAAAAGAGACGAAAAGGAAAGUGGCACUGGAAGUUAAGAGAGUUAAGGAGGAAAAAAAUGAGGCCCAAUUCCACCCAUUACUAUGCCACAAAAAAAGAAGUUUCAGAUUCAUACAUUUCAAAUCAACCAACAACAACUCCUCAUCAACAUUUUUGUUUUUCCAAAGGCACCUAAACACCUGUUGCAGAAUACUACUCCACUACUCUUCCUCAUAACUCCUAUGACAUGUUAAUCCAACAUUGACUCUCUAUAAGUAGAUAUUAUUUUAUAAAAUCUCUUUCAAAUGUUUCUGACAGAAGGAUCCUUUAAUGAUUUACACAAAAGUUUAACAUGUCUUAGGCCAAAUAUUCAACCAAUAAAAAGAUUUAUUGUGCAUAUUCAUUAAAUAUUGGUAAGUGAUAGUCUGUUAUUUGGUUUUGUUUUUUGUGUCUGUUGUUGUAGUACUUAUUUUAUUUUAGUUUGGUAUUUUAUUUUAUUUUUUAUUUUUUAUUGGACACUUUCUUUAGAUGAGAAGACUCAGAAGAGUUGUGUAAAGACUUCGAAUUUCCAACUUAUUGUAAUACAGUCAUCAGCAUUUUGGUGAAAGUAUUUCUGAAGCUUAUAGGCUUUAGUUAUCUUUCUAAUGCCAGGUAAUUUCUUCUUCAUCUAUUUACUUUGUGGAAACCACCUCAGUCACACUUAUGUAUCUUAUUCCCAUACCUCUGCAAUUUGAGAUUUAAUAGACCUGUUUCUCCUAUUAACAUCAGGGGAGGCCUUUUCUGCUUUAUGAAUUAAUCUUCAAAAAUGUUGAUUGUAAGUUGUACUUUCUUGUCUCUUUUCAUGUCAAUCAUGUACAUUGGUAGAUGUUAUAGUUGAAGAAUAGGGUUUCACGAGAAUAAUUUUCUUUCAUUGAGAUUAUUCUUUUAUAGAGUUUACAACAUAUACAAAUCCUUCAAAUUAGGAAACUAAAUCACUGAUUAAAAGGAAAGAAUAACUCCUAACAAUUACUUUCCUAAAAAUACAAAGAUUGACAACUAAUAAAUAACUUACAACUUUACAAAAUUAUUUCUUUCCAUAUCAGUUUCGGUUUUCCAACACUCCUCCUCAAGCUGGCUUAAAGAUAUCUUCCAUAGCCAGCUUGCCAACUAGAAAAUCAAAUUGCCUUUUUUGUAGUCCUUUGGUGAAGACAUCAAUCACUUGUUCCUCAGUAGGGAUAUAGGUCAUACAAACCAAUCCGUUGUCUAUCUUCUCUUUAAUGAAAUGCUUGUCCACUUCCACAUGUUUGGUGCGGUCAUGGAGAACCGGAUUGUGAGCUACUAAAAUUGUUGCCUUGUUGUCACAAUACAACUUCAUAGGAGAUGGACCUGUCAUCUUUAACUCUUCCAGUAAUCUUCUUAUCCACAUAAUCUCACAAAUACCAUGAGCUACAACUCUAAACUCAGCCUCAGCACUACUUUUAGCAACCAUGUUUUGUUUUUUACUUCGCCACGUGACCAAGUUGUCAUCUACAAAUGAACAGUACCCAGAGGUGGACCUUCGAUCCACUAUGCUUCCAGCCCAGUCUGCAUCGGUGUAGGUUUCAAUUUGUAGGUGUCCUUGUGACUUGAACAAAAGACCUCUACAUGGUGUCCUCUUUAGAUACCUUAGAAUCUUGUAAACAACUUCAAAAUGCUCUGGUCUAGGCGCAUGCAUAAACUAGCUAACCAUACUCACUGAGAAUGCUAUGUCAGGGCGUGUAUGGGAUAGGUAAAUCAAUCUCCCAACAAGUCUCUGAUAACGAUUCUGGUCCUUCACAUUCUUGGUUUUUGUAGGCUGCAGUUUUACAUUCGGCUCUAUAGGUGUUUCAGCAGGCUUACAUCCUAACAUACUUGUCUCAUCAAGAAGAUCAAGAACAUACUUCCGUUGAUUUACAAAGAUACCUUCUUUGGACCUAGCAAACUCCAUCCCAAGAAAGUAUUUUAAUGCCCCCAGGUCCUUAAUCUCAAAUUCCUCAGCAAGUUUCCCCUUCAGCUUCUCUAGUUCAUUGCAAUCAUCCCCAGUUAACACAAUAUCGUCAACAUACACAAUUAAGAUGACUACUUUACCUUCAUUUAAAUGUUUGUAGAAUAUCGUGAUCUGGUUGACUUUGAGUAUAUCCAUAAUGCUUUAUUACUUUGCCAAAGCACUCAAACCAAGCUCUAGGCGACUGCUUAAGUCCGUAUAAAGACUUCUUCAAUUUGCACACUUUCCCAACUCCAAAACUUUCUUCAAAACCUGGUGGAGGACUCAUGAACGCUUCCUCCUCUAGGUCUCCAUUAAGAAAGACAUUUUUAACAUCCAAUUGGUGUAAGGGCCAAUUGGAAUUUACUGCAAGGGACAACAAAACUCUAAUUGAGUUUAUUUUAGCUACGGGGGCGAAAGUCUCUUGGUAGUCUAUCCCAUAGGUUUGAGUAAAACCAUUUGCCACAAGUCUGGCUUUGUAUCUCUCAACACUUUUAUCUGCUUUACUCUUUAUUGUAAACACCCAUUUGCGCCCUACAACUUCUUUUUCCCUUUGUAAAUCUACAACCUCCCAAGUGCCAUUCUUUUUUAAGGCACUCGUUUCCUCAAACAUUGCCAAUUUGCAACUCGGUUCAUCUAGUGCUACUUGAAUAUUUUUAGGUACCACAAGUUUUGAAAUAUUUGUAGUGAAUACUCUAUAGUUGUCAGAAAGGUUACUAUAGGAGAUAUAUUUGGCAAUGGGAUGUUUAGUGCAAGCUCGGGUUCCCUUUCUAAGAGCAAUAGGGAGAUCAAUGUCAAGGUCCUGUGCAGGAACAAUUGGGGCUAAUCCUAAACCGGGUUUGGGUGCAAAUAUUUCUGGACUUGGACCAAAGUGUGAUGGUAAACUUAGAUCAGUAACAGAAGAAGAAGAAGCAUGUAUAUGAGUAGGAAUAGAAGAAGGGUUACCUGAGACAUUUAGAGAGCCAUUGCCUAGGGCUUUCGGUUGACCAUGUGCUGGGAUGAUCGGCUGGUCUUUACUUCUUCCAGGGACUUUUUUCCUUGAAUAAACCACAGGCUCAAGAUUGUUUCUAUUUUUUUCAUUCGUAGUAUUUCUUCUUCUGACAGACCAAUUUCAGAUUCGGAUUCAAUUGGCUUAGUUUCUUUAUUUUCUUUUUCAAGAGAGAUAUCAAGAAUUACACUAGGCAAAGGUUCAACAAUUUCCCAAAAAUUUGGUUCCACUAAUUUCUCCCCUUGAAGUAAAUUUUUGGUAAAAUAUGAGACAUUUUCCAUAAAGGAAACAUCCAUAGUUGUGUAAAAACGUUUUGUAAGGGGAUUAAAACAUUUGUAACCCUUUUUAUUAGGAGUAUAUCCUACAAAAACGCAUUUUUCUGCUCUUUGGUCUAACUUAGAUCUUGACCUUUUUGGAAUGUGUAUAUAUGCAGUGCAACCAAAUAUUUUCAAGGGUAAUUCAGAAUUAAUUUGAGAUUCUGGAAAUACCUUUUUCAAGCACUCCAAAGGAGUGGUAUACUGCAAAAAUUUUGUAGGCAGCCUGUUGAUUAGAUAUGAAGCAAUUAGUAUGACAUCCCCUCAUAAGUAUUUUGGAAUAUUCAUGUAAAACAUCAUAGCCCGUGCUACUUCUAACAAGUGUUUAUUUUUACGUUCAGCUAUUCCAUUCUGUUCAGGGGUAUCAGAACACGAGGAUUGAUGUAAAAUUCCUUUCUCAUUUGAAAAGGUUUCCAAAACUUUAUUAAAGUACUCAGUCCCAUUAUCAGAUGUCAAAAUACUGAUUUUUGUUUGAAAUUGGUUUUCAAUUAUUCUGUAAAAUUCUUUAAAAAUCCUUUCGACUUCAGAUUUUUCCCUCAUUAAAUAUACCCAACAAAGACGUGUAUGGUCGUCUAUAAAGGUCACAAACCAUUUUUUUCCUGAAAUUGUGGUUACUUUUGAAGGUCCCCAAACAUCACUGUGAAAAAGAUAAAAUGGUUUUGAUGUAUAGUAGGGUUUUGGAAUGUAAGUUUUUUGUUGGCUCUUUGCCAAUAAACAACUUUCACAUUGAAAUGAUAAAGGAUCAACCUUUUGAAAUAACACUGGAAAUAAAUGUUUUAAAUAAGAGAAACUAGGAUGACCUAAUUUGCAAUGCCAAACCAUUAUUUGAUCACGAACAGAAAGAGAACUAAUACUACUUGGUUCUUGAGCAAUUUUAUUACUAGGUAAAUUAUCCUCGAAAUAAUAGAGACCAUUGAUUAUCCUAGCACUGCCAAUCGUCUUCCCUGAGCUCUGGUCUUGAAAAAUACAAUGGGAUUCAUAGAAGAUAACACAACAAUUAGAAUCUCUAGAUAAUUUGCUAAUAGACAAGAGAUUACAAGUAAGUUUAGGAACAUGGAGAACAUAUUUAAGAUCUAUUCCCUCAGAGGUUUUUAUUAGACCUUUUCCUGCAAUAGGUGAGAAAUUACCAUCAGCUAUCCGAACCUUUUUAUUUCCAGGACACGGUGAAUAGGAUUCAAACAUGUUUGAGGAAUUGGUCAUGUGGUCGGAUGCUCCAGAAUCGAUUAUCCAUGGAGUAGAUUUAAAACGACAAGAUAGAGCAUAUAAUUCAUUACCUGUGUGUGCCAAAGAAACACUAGAAGUACCGGAUGUCAAGUUGGAUUUCAGCAGUGCAAGAAGAUGCUCCAUUUGCUCAGUAGUGAAGGGGCUGGUCUCAGCCUCAUUAGCAGUAGGAAUAAUGGCUCGGCUUGGUUUUGUUUCCUUUCAAAUUUGCAGGUUUCCCAUGGAUUUUCCAACAAUUCUCACGAGUAUGGCGAGGUUUGUUGCAAAAAUCACACCAAACCCGUGGUCUUUCAUCUGAUUUGUGCUGAAACACAGCAGCUUUAUUAUAGCCUCCACUCGUGGUAACCAAGGUUGAACCUUCAAUAGCAACUCCAGGUCCCUUCUUGCCCAACAUCACAUUCCUUCGACUCUCCUCUUCUAACUUUUGAAAAAACUUCACCAAUUGAAGGCAGGGGUUGUCUUCCAAUGAUUCUCCCCCUUACCUCAUCAAACUCAACAUUAAGGCCAGCCAAGAACUUGAAGAUCUGAUUGUCUUCCAUGGUCUUCUUAUGAUGAAGUCCAUCCUCGGUAGAUUUCCACUCAUAGGUGUUGAAGAGGUCAAGGUCUUGCCAGAUCCGCUUCGAGGAGUUGAAGUACUUUGUGAUGUUGUCCUCCCCUUGUUGUAUCUUACCAAGUUUGAGGGUUAAUUCAAAGAUCUGUGAUUGAUUCCCUAAAUUAGAAUACAUUUGAUUUACAUUCUCCCAAAGCUCUUGUGCUAUUGGAUAGCACAUGUAAUUAGAGCUAAUGUCUUCUUCCAUAGAAUUCACAAGCCAUGACAUCACCAUGGAAUUCUCAGCAUCCCAUAUAGCAUAGUUCGGAUCAUCCACUGCAGGAGCCUUCUUUUCACGCGUUAGGUAGCCCAUCUUUCCACGUCCUCUGAUGUACAUCCGAACUGAUUGAGACCAUCUCAGAAAGUUGUCACCAUUCAAGCGAAUCGUGGUGAUUUGGAUAGAGUGAGAUUUCGAGGUGGUAGGAUUGAUUUUUGAAGAAUCAGUGAUGAUGGGAUUGUUCAGAGAAGGUUGAGGAACAGUAGUGGACUCGUUUGAAAUAUCCGACAUGGUUUCAAAGAACAGGGAUUGAAAGAGAGGAAGGAGGAGGAUUUCGGCAAGCAAAUUGCGAGCUUUGAUACCAAGUUGAAGAAUAGGGUUUCACGGGAAUAAUUUUCUUUCAUUGAGAUUAUUCUUUUAUAGAGUUUACAGCAUAUACAAAUCCUUCAAAUUAGGAAACUAAAUCACUGAUUAAAAGGAAAGAAUAACUCCUAACAAUUACUUUCCUAAAAAUACAAAGAUUGACAACUAAUAAAUAACUUACACCUUUACAAAGUUAUUUCUUUCCAUAUCAGCUUCGGUUUUCCAACAGUUAUUAAUUCUUUGAGUUAUGAAAUGGGAUUUAGGAAUUUAGGAUUAAAGGGAAAUAUGAUUUCUAUGAAAUGUGUCUUAUCUAAUUCAUAGACCUCCAUGAUUUCAGCUUUUAUCAGCUUGCUGUUAUCCCUCAGCUGAUUAUUGUUAUUAUGGAAUAUAAAUUGAUCCAAUAAUGUGGAGUCUUAAUAUCCCUCUUUUUAAAAAAAAAAAAAAAAAUCUGAAAUCUUAAUGUCCCUGUUGUUUCUUCUGAUAUUGCUCAUUUGAUUAUGAAUUAGGUAUAUCCAUGCAGAUCCACAUGGAGCUUCAAGUACUGUGAUCAAGAACCACAAGCCUGAACAUCCAGUACCCCCUCUUACUUUGAACCAAGCAGGAUGUUUCACUGUAAGUUGGUCAUCUUUCAAUAUUCUUUUGGUAUUAUUUCAUUUUAUUGUGUCUUAAGGUAGGAGUGAACAGCAUAUAUGCACUUUGAAUUAUUUAGCUUACAAUUUUUUUGUAAAAUAGGUUUGUCACAGCCAGGUGUGGGAUUCAAAGAUUGUCACAAGUGCUUGGUGGGUUUAUCCUCACCAGGUCAGUAAAACUGCUCCUACUGGGGAAUAUCUUACAGUUGGGAGUUUCAUGAUCCAUGGGAAGAAGAACUUUCUUCCUCCACACCCUCUUAUGAUGGGCUUUGGCUUGUUAUUUUGCUUAGAUGAGAGAGCUCCUUGGGAUCACAUUUAUAUGAAAGGCGGGUGAGAGGUGAGGAGGAAGGGGCACAAGAUUUUGAGGAGAAUGAAUCUCUUAAAGGAAAUUCUGAUUCUGAGUCAGAGAAGGAAGAAACAGAUGAAAAACGUACUGCAGAGUCAAAAAGCAUAACGGAUCCACCAACACAUCAACCAAUAUUAGAAGGCUUUUCUGAAAUUAGUUCUGCUCAUAAUGAAUUGACCACCUCCAAUGUUGGAUCCAUCAAUUUGCCUGAAGUUCCUCUUGAAGAGAGGAAUAUGUUGAAUGGAAAUGAUAGUGAGCAUAUAGAUGAUAUUUCUGGAAGACAUGUUUCUUCUGUCAAUCCACAACUUGAGGAUCUCAUUGAUUGGGCUCUUGAACUUGGAUCUAAUACUGCAUCUGGUAAGAAGUAUGCUCUUGAAACUUCUCAAGUUGAUUUGGAAGAUCACAAUCAUGAAUACAGAAAGGCUAAAGUCAGAGAGAAACCUUAUAUCUCAAAAGCUGAAAGAAGAAAGCUGAAGAAAGGCCAGAAAACCAGUACUUCAGAUGCAGGUGGUGAUCAUGGAAAAGAAGAAAUGGGGUCUCUAAUUGAAAGGGGGUUCUCUAUAUCUUUAACUCAAGUUUUGUGUUCCAUUUUCAUUUGGAUUGCUGAUUGAUAGCUUUUUGGUUUAUUGUUUGGGGCUCUCGGUGUCCAUGUGGGAUUAACACCCAUAGAUGCUAAAUUCUGGGAGUAAUGUCUCAAAUUUUUUUAUUUAUUUUUUGUGUGUGUGCAGAUUUCGCUUUGGAUGCUAGCUUUUACUCUUCUUUAAAUCUAGGCGUGUUCUGGGCGUGUUCCAGGUUAGUUGCCUACUUGAAACCUAGUUCAAAAAAGCUGUCUGUAUUAAGAAUUCAUUUCCUGAAUAAGGCUGAGGAUGGACUGUUUGCCUGUGGGCUUUUGUUUGGGCCAAUAUUUGCUUGCGUUUGUGAUUUGGACCGAUGCCAUUGGGCUGGCUUCUUUAAGCUUAGUAGAAAUUUUAUUUCUGUAGUGGGUGGGACUUCCACUUUUGUUAAAGUUGGGUGACAGUCUCUUGAUAGGGUGGGUGUCUUUGGGCAUGCAGAGUGCAUGUAGCCUAUUACGUGUUUACCCCUCUUCAAUUUAAUGCACUUUGUCAGGGACUUAGGCCUGUUUGGUUAUUGUUUUCGAGAAUUGUGUUUUGUUUUUUAGAACAAAAAACACCAAAAACUCAUUUGGAACUUUAAUCACUUAUUGUUUUUAUUAGUCUGUGUGUUUCCAAAAUGUUUCUUUUUAGAGAACAAAAAAAACAAGUUUCCUUUGUUUUUUCCACUGUUUAGAGAACAAAAGGAGCAUCCCUAUUCUCCAUGUUUCCAAUCCUUUGUUCUCACAUUCCCUAUUGUCACCUGUGAAAUAAUCCUCCUCUGCCUCAUCUUCUUUUGUUCCAGAACUUCCAUCUACAUCAGAGAGUAUCUUGUUUCCAUUAGUCCCCUCAUCUUCCUCGCAUCUAUCAGUCGCAAAAUCCGAUUUGCUUCUAUUGGAAUUAUUGACUUCGUCAAUGCCAUCAUCAAUCCCAAUUUCUAUUAUCAAAUUCCUUUUCUGGGUAUAAUCCAAAACUCCCUAAGAGGGUUUGAUCAGAAGAUAAAGAUAGUAGAAUUUGCUGUUUAACUUAACAUCACAAUAGAAACACCUCAAAUUUACUUCCCCAUUUUCCAGAAUCUUCUCAUCAUCACCCUGAAUCAUACCAAUCUGCUUCACCCAUGGAAUGAAAGCGAUCUUCAAUAAUUCACAAUAAUCAAGUUGUGAUGAGGAUGAGCAAUCCUCACACAUAUCCUGUAAUUCAACCAAUUUUCGAUCAUUCGAAUAGCAUCCAAGUUUUGAAAUCUCCGCAAUGUGGGUUUCACACAGAAGAUAAGAGAAAAAAGAGUUGAGAAAAAGGAUCAGAAUCCAUUCAAGAACAUCAUAGAUGAGAAUAAGCGUGAUCUUGUUGGUGUUUGGUUCCAAACUUGUUUACUGCCAUUGAUGAUGAUGAUCUAUUCUUGAUAUUCAUAGAGAGAAAAGCAGAGACUAUUUAAAGAGAUUAUGAAAAGCAUGCAUUUUAGUUUUCUUAUUUGAGAAUUUUAGUUUGGUAUCAGUAUGUAUCUUAAGAUGCAUGUCUUAAAACGCUCCAAACUGAUGAGUGUUUAACUUUUUAUAAUCCUACGUCCCCAUCUCAUUGUCACUUUGCAUCUACUAAAGAGUUGGUUUUCUUAUUCUUACAUUUCUACAAAUGCAAUAGGAUGUUAUGAUCCGACCAACACCAGAAGCCUCAGUUCUUGGGCCUAGCCUCAUAAGUUUUUUUCUUAUUAUUUACAAUAUGCAAAUGUCCUAAUUUUAUGUGAAAGGGCUGCAGUACUUGGUUGGUUUCUAUUUGCUGUUAAAAAUGUGCAUCAAACUAAUCUUUUCUCAUUUUGGACAAGAAACUAUGCCUACUCUCUUUCUAUUGGCUUGAAAAAUGUCCAUCAGACUCACCUUUGACAGGAAACUAUACCAGGUUAGUUGGCUCCCUCCUUCAUCACACUAAAAAGAAAAGCUGAUGUGCUAGAGAUGCAAUUUGGACAAAGAUGCUUAUGUAUGUUAUGAUUCAACCUUCAUGUCAUGCUCCUAAUUUGUUCCAUUGUGCGUCUUAAUGUUGGUAGACAUUACAGCAAACUUUGGACUUGAGGAGACCCCUUCCCUUGCCUGAUGGUGUCAUUAUAAAUGGCCAGAACUAGUUCAUCCUUUAUUUAGUAUAUGAAGCAAGCCAGAACCUACAAGUGUACGUCUAAACUGCUAUUCAAAUGGAAUAAUAUUUAGUUUUCCCUGAAAUGAAUGGGGAGUUGGUACACUGGUCUACAAUGAUCUAUCCUGAUCUCCUUUCCCUCUGUUUUUCAUGAAGGUGGAAUUUGAAAACAAGUGCAGCCAGACCCAACCAUUAGGGGUCCUAAGAUAUUCAGAUCACACAACAUCUGACUGGGCAGCCAAAUAUUGCGGAAUUCAAGGGCGAGGCGGUCAAUGCACCUUGUGAUGGAGUUGUGUGCUGUGGGAGUUCUUUGAUAAGAGUUAUCAUAUAUAAUGUAUUUGCUGUCAUUCAUUAAUAAGUUUUAUUUGAAAAAACUUGUUGAAUACUCAAAUUAAUAUUUGAAUCGAACUUGUUAAAUGCAUUUAAAAUUCAAAACCGACUCUUAUGGUUUUCGGAUAGCAAUCUAAAAUAAUGUUAAGUAUGACUAACAUGAUCAUCCAUCUAUAUUUUAGGAAAUUAGGCAAGAUUUUUGUGUAAUAAAUUUUAUUUUCAAGAGUAUGUUAAGUACUAAAAUUAAUAUUUAAAAUUCAAAUAUAAUACUUAAGGCUUUAUGGAUACCGUCAUUCAUCAAUAUUUGAGGACAAUAGAGAUUUCCACAUAAAUUAAUAUUUAAUUAAAAAUUAAAAUACUAUAAUCAUCAAUUUUAAAUAACUUAUCAACAAUGAUUCCAAAAAUAGGUAUAUAAAGAAAAAAAAAAUCCUCAAAAGGACAAAAAUGGGUUGGCCAAUGCAAAUUCGAGGUUCACUAGCCCAAUGAUCCAAUCCACAAUUUGUCAAAGGUCAAUUUAAUGUGUAGCCCAAAGUUUGAACCAAACUUGAUCAGGCUUCGAUUGACGGUUUAACCGGUGGACUGUCUACUUCAAUCCAAUUUUUAUUUUAAAACAUUGGAUUUUACCAUAUAAGUGUCCAUAAAUGGAUCAUCUCUAAUUUUAAGCAGGUACAAAUUUUCAAACCUAACUUAUGGAAUAUUCGAAGUUGACAUCGUGAGUGGAAUAAAAUUUAUUAAAAUCAAACUUAGGUUUUGAUAUUAAUUCAAAACAAAUGAUGGUAUCAGAAGGAAGGAUGGAAAGAGUAGGUAGACUACUAAAUAAAGGUUGUCAUCAUUUCACCUAUUAAAUGAAGAUUUUAAUGCAUCUUCUUAAUGGGCUCAACAAUAUUUACUUUUUUUUCUUGGAUGCUCCUAAUAUAUUCAUUUCUACAUAUAAUUGCAUUUAUUGUCUAAUUUAUAUGGAAUUAUCUAACAAUAUGAAAAUCUUCACAUAAUUAGUAUUUUUAUAAUCUUUAUACCGAUUAUAUUUUAAUAUAUAUUUUUAUUUAUUUACUAAUGAAAAUAUAAAUGGAAGAUAUUUUAGUUUUUUCAUUUGACAAUUAAAUUUUUAAUCAAAAUUUUUUAUUUACAAAUUGAGUAAUGUAAAAAAGAAAGCUUUAAACAAAGAAAUGAAAUAAAGCGAAAUAGAGAAAUGAAUUCAUAAUUUAUGAGGCAUUUAGAGUGAAAUUUAUCUAAUAACAAUAAAGACUUUCAAGUAAUAUAGUAUGAAAUUAUUAGCAACAUUUUAAAUAUAAAAAAAUUGAUAAAUGCUUUGUCAAGAUGGUCGAAACAAGAAAAAAUAUUUCUUUUUUUGGGCCAGCAAAUUGGUAUAAUUUAUUGAAACUUACAUAUUUGAAGUAUUAUUUUUGUAUUAUUUUCAUUCAAAUCUCAAUUUUAAGAAUAUUUAAAUAAUAAUCAGAUUUAAUAGUAAAGUUAAAUAAAAACUUAGAAUUGUACAUAAUAUAUUUGACAGAAAUAAUAUUAUUUUUUUUAAAGAAAAAGUUGUGAGCUUGUCUACGGAUUUUUUAAUAUAUUUGACAGAUUUAGGGUGUUAAUUAGGAGUAUUUUAAGAUGCAUUAUCAUUUCUUUUGUUUGAUCAGAUUAAGGUAGGUGGGUGGUUAUUCGGACAAAAAUACCCUUCAAUCCAAGAAAUUAUACCAAGCAACUCAACUAAUUUUCCUUCCUUUCUCUACAGUCUACUGCUUUGUCUCUGUCUUCCGGCGCCAACACAACUUCUCGCCUUCUCGAAAAUCAAGCUUUCAAACUCCUUUUCUUCACUAUUUUCUUUCGUUGCACAACCCUUCCCGUAUUCUGUUGUAGCUAACCUCCCAUAUACCAGAGAGAAAACUCCUCAAAAAACCCACAACCUAUUCGUUUACCAGUUUCCUUCUCCCUUCAUACCACAUUCACUCCUCAACCCCUCUUCCUUCAAACCCCAGUCGAAAAAAACGGAAGCUUCAGGCUCCCCUCAAAUACCCAUGAAAAUUGUCUAAUAAGAGAGGGUUGUGCAACUUUCCAUUAAUUACAAAUUUUAGGAAAAAGAAAAUGUUUCUUUCGAAUCACAAAUUUUAGUUAUUGUUUCAAUGGAAUAUAUCAUUUUUUUUAGGAAAAAAAAUGUGUUUCAUAGUAAUUAUUUAUCUUUUCUAACCUAUACAAAUAUUUUCACUUAGGGAGUGUGCUUUAUGCGUGCAUUUCCAUUAAUUAUAAAUUUCAGAAAAAAAAAAUGAUUCUUUCAAAUCACAAAUUUCAAAUAUUGUUUUAGUAGAAUAUUUCAUUCUUUCAAGAAAAAAAAUAUUUCUUUCAUAUCACAUAUUUCAACUCUUAUUUUUAGAAUAUUUCAUUAAUAAGUACUAACAGAUUGCAAAGCUAAAUACUUCUCAUUAAUGAAACAACGUAUAAAUACAUAUCCAAGAGUGGUUGAAGAUCCUACAAAUUAAGAAGGUUACAAACUGAAUCCUAUAUCUAUGGAUGAUAGAUAAAUACAAUUAAAUACAUUUGAAUAAGCUGAUAUGAAAGACUAAGUCAAGCUGAUAUGAAAGACUAAGUCAAGCUGAGAUGAAUAACUAAGUCAAGCAACUGAUUAUCUCUAUUAUGCACCUUCAAGAUGAAGCUCGGGAGAGAAGUCCAAUCUUGUGUUUAAGUUGAAGAAAACGUUGUCGUGGAAGUGGCUUGGUAAGAGCAUCUGCAAGCUAAUCUUCAUAGGAGACAUGGGCUACACGAAGAGCUCCAUUUUGAACUUGAUCCCUGAUAAAAUGAAAGUCCAUUGCAACAUGCUUCAUACGGGAAUGAAAAAAUGGAUUGGAACAGAGUUGAGGGGCCCCUAUAUUAUCACAGUAAAUGACAGGGCAGGAGGAAAGCGAAAUACCAAGAUUAGUCAAGAGAUAACAAAUGAAAUUAAGUUCAGCAGCUAUAUUUGCAACUGAGCGAUACUCCGCCUCAGUGGAGGAUCUAGCAACAGUCUGUUGCUUUUUAGAACUCUAGGAGAUCAGAUUUUUACCAAGAUAAACAACGUAAGCACCAGUUGAGCAAAAAACGUCCUUGUCCCUUGCCCAAUCAGCAUCAGAAAAGGCUUGGAGAUUGAGAGAGGUAUUUGAGAAUGCAUGCAAGUUGAGAGUAGAGUCUUUGUAGAGUUGUAAACCAUCAUCAACGGUGCCAACAAGAUAACGUAGUAGGCGUUUGACAAAGGACCAAUAUGCAGUUGUUGGGCAGUGCAUAUAUUGGGACAAUUUGUUGACAGCAAAGGCGAUGUCUAGUCUUGUUAUGAGCAAAUAAUGGAGACUCCCAACUACCUGGCAAUACUCAGUGGGAUCAAACAGAGAAGAACCUGAGUUUAACAUGAGAGUCGGACUGGUUGGGAUGGGAGUAGGAAUAGUCUUGGCAUCUUGCAUCUUGGUUUGAGUGAGGAGAUCCAGAAUAUAUCGCCUUUGUGAGAGUAACAAGUCAUGUUUGUUUGGGACAACUUCCACACCCAAAAAGUAAGUUAGUAAACCAAGGUCUUUGAUGGAAAAUUGCCGAGCAAGGAUGGCAAUGAAGUGAUUAACUUUGGUAUCAUUAUCGCCUGUGAGAAUUAAAUCAUCAACAUAAACAAGGAGAUACAUAAUGUGGCCAUCAGCAUGAAAGACAAAGAGUGAUGUAUCAGCAUAUGAAUUCUGAAAGCCAAACUAUAGAAGAAAGUUUCUGAGUUCAUGGUACCACGCCCGAAGGGCUUGUUUCAGGCCAUAUAUUGCUUUGUUGAGUUUGCAGACAUAAGAGGGGUUGUCAUUAUCAACAAAUCCCGGUGGCUGUGCCAUGUAUAUAUUCUCUGAUAGAUGUCCUUGAAUAAAGACAUUAUUAACAUCAAGUUGCUUUAAGGACCAGCCACGACUGACGACGAUACUGAGAACAAUGCGGACAGUAGUUAGUUUUACAACGGGACUGAAUGUGUCGUGGUAGUCUAUUCCAGGACGUUGGUGGAAGCCUUUGCCACCAAUCGGGCCUUGAACCUGUCAAUAAAGCCAUCAUAUUUGCGUUUAGUUCUAAAAAUCCACUUGCAACCAACCAGAUUUUGACUGCUAUCCGGUGGAACUAUAGCCCAUGUGCCAUUCUUUACUAAAGCAUCAUACUCUUCAGACAUGGCUCGACGCCAUUUAUGAUCUUUGAGAGCUUGGGUCAAGGUGGGUGGUUCAUGAUCAUCACUUUUGGUUAAUUGAGUGUGAAAAUUCGGUUUGGUGAUGGGUUUGCGGAUAUUAUUUUUGGCUCUAGUAGUCAUGGGAUGGGUGGGUUGUGGCUGAAGCUGAUGUGGGCUUAUAUGUGUUGAUGGGUGUUAGGGAUUGUGGGGAUGUGAAGGUUCACGUGAUGGUGAUGGAGGUGAUGUGGCAGGCAGGUCUGGUGGUGGUGAAGCGGCACUGGGGGAUUGUUGUUGAGCGUCCACGACAGAUGACGGAUUGAGUGGUGGUACUAAAGGCAAGUUGGGAAUGCGAAGGGGUGGUGGAAGCCAAGUAGCAAUGGAAUCUGAUGGAGGAUAAGAGGAAGGAGCAGAGAUAUGACGGAAGGGAAAGACAAACUCAACAAAUUUAACAUGCCUAGAAACAUAUAUUUUAGACGUGGAUGGAUCAAGGCAGUAGUAGGCACUCUGAGUUAAAGAGUAUCCAAGGAAGACACAUGGUUUGGAUCGAGUGUGGAGUUUGUGGGUAGUAUAUGGUCUAAGCCAGGGAUAGCAUAAACAACCAAAAAUUUUGAGUUUUGAGUAAUUAAGAGUUGUUGUAAAAAAAAUUUCAUAAAGAGAGGAAAGGUUCAGUAUGGGUGUUGGCAUGCGAUUUAUUAGGUAAACUGUUGUGGCUAGGGCAUAAGGCCAAUAACUUAAAGGAAGAGAUGCAUGAAAGAGUAAGGUUAGUCCAGUUUCUACAAUAUGAAGAUGUCUACGUUUUGAAAAUCCUUUGUGUUCAGGUGUGUGAGGUGGUGUAGUGAGAUGAGAAAUACCAUUUGUUGAAAGAAAAUGGGCAAGGGUAAUAUAUUCACCACCAUUGUCCGAAUAAAGUGUUUUGAUGGUUUUAUCAAAGUGUUUCUCAAAAAUUGCUUUAAAUUAAAUAAAAAUAUCUUUGACUUAUGACUUUUAUUUAAGAGGAUAAAACCAAAUAUAUUGGGUGAAGUGAUCCACAAAAAUGACAUAAUAUUUUAAUCCAUUAUUUGAUAUAAUAGGAGAUGUCCAAACAUCAGAAAAGAUAGUUUCAAGGGGUUAAGAAGAGACAAUGGUGGAUUUAGAAAAUGACAAUUUGUGGCUUUUAUUACUCAAACAAGCAUUACAUGGAAAAUUAUUGGAUAAUGAAGAAGAGAAAUCAAAUUUAUUUUUGGAAACAAUCUGUUUCAGAAUUUUGAAAGUUGGGUGUCCUAAUCUUUGAUGCCACUCAGAUAAAGUUGUUUUGCGGCUGGAAAAUGCAAGCAAAGGUGGAGAUAUCGGCCACUCAUAGACGCCAUCUUUAGUGUUGCCCUUCAGAAGUGUUGUCCUCGUUUGAAUGUCCUUUACAAGGAAAGCAGUUGGUAAGAAUUCAAUGGAGACAUUAUUUGAGGUACAAAAUUGAGAAAUGGAAAUGAGAUUCUUUUUCAUAGUAGGAACACAGAGAACAUUGUUCAAUUUAAAAGUGUUAUGAGUUGUGUGGAGAGAGGAAGAACCAAUAUGAGUAAUGGAGAGACCCGAGCCAUCACCAAUCAUAAUGUCAUCCGAGCCAUUGUAUGGAGUAUGCAUGGAGAGAUUGUGUAGAUCAGUUGUAGCAUGGUGAGAUGCGCCACCGUCGAUGAGCCAAGAUGUGUGGUUGGGAGUGUUGGAGGCAUAAUGGGCUCUUGGUUGCCAUGGGGUGGCAGAGGGAUUGUUCGAAGCAGGAGAAGGACUAUUGGAUGUCUUCAAAUUGAUAAAUGAUAGUUUUUUCAUUAAUUCUUUCAUUUGCUCAUGUACAGAGUAUAUAUAGAGGGUAAUCACCAUUCUAAGAAUGAGAAAGAAUGAUAUAAGGAAAUAACAACUAAUAUCCUAAUAUCUCAAUAUUCCUAAUAUCUCAACUUUCCUAAUAUCUAAACAUUCCUAAUAUCUAAACAUUCCUAAUAUCUCAACACUAAAUGAUAUAAGGAAAGAAUGAUAUAAGGAAAGCAUUCCUAAUAUCUCAACACUCCCCCUCAAGUUGGUGCAUAGAUGUCACACAUGCCCAACUUGUCUAAAAAUUUUGAGAACACUUGACUUGAGAUAGCUUUGGUGAGGAUAUCGGCCAAUUGAUUUUCUGAUCAAAUCUUAGGCAAUUUCACAAUCUUAUCAUCCAACUUUUCCUUAAUGAAGAAUCUAUCCACCUCGACAUGCUUUGUACGAUCAUGUUGUACUGGAUUAUGAGCAAUGUCACAUGCGACUUUAUUGUCACAAAACAAUCGGAUUGGUUGCCUAGAUAGGCAACCUAAAUCCUGUAAGAGAAGUCUUAGCCAUAAUGCCUCACAAAGUCCUAGAGCCAUACCUCUAAAUUCCGCUUCUGCACUUGAACGGGCGACGACAUUCUGCUUCUUACUUUUCCAUGUCACAAGAUUACCACCUACAAAGGUAAAGUAACCAGAUGUAGAUCGUCUAUUAUCCACUGCACCGGCCCAAUCAGCAUCAGUAUAUACUUCUAUACUCUGAUGAUCAACAUUUUUAGCGAACAAAAUUUCCUUCCCAAAAGCAUUCUUCAAAUACCUCAAAAUACGCAUGACUGCAUUCAUAUGUUGCUCUCCAGGAUUAUGCAUGUAUUGACUCACUACACUCAAUGCAUAAGCAAGAUCUGGUCUUGUAUAAGCUAAGUACAUUAAUCUCCCCACAAGUCUCUGGUAUCUUCCCUUAUUGGUUGAUACUUGAUUAGGCUUAACACACAAUUUCAGACCUUCUUCUAUUGGUGUAUUAACAGGUUGACAUCCCGACAUUCCAGUCUCCUGUAAAAGAUCUAAGGCAUACUUUCUUUGAGACAGAAAAAUUCCUUCACUUGAUCAAGAAACUUCAAUCCCAAGAAAGUAUUUCAGAGGACCUAGAUCUUUCAUUUCAAAUUCUCUAGAUAGAUAAUUUUGCAGAGCUUUUCUUUCUUUAGGAUCAUUUCCUGUAACUACCAUGUCAUCCACAUAUACGAUGAGUAUCGUAAUCUUACCAUGUUGCUUUUUCAGGAACAAAGUGUGAUCUGAAUUACUUUGACGAUAGCUAAAAGCUCUUAUUGACUUUGUGAACCUUCCAAACCAUGCUCUCGGGGAUUGCUUCAACCCAUACAAUGACUUCUUCAAUUUGCACACCUUCUAACAUUGCUUUUCUAACACCAUGCAUCUUGGUGGAAGAUCCAUGUAUACUUCUUCAGAUAACUCGCCAUGCAGAAAGGCAUUUUUCACAUCGAAUUGUUGUAAUGGCCAAUCUAGGUUUGCAGCUAAAGAUAGUAAUACUCGAACUGUGUUGAUCUUAGCUACAAGUGCAAAUGUCUUUGUGUAGUCAAUUCCAUAAGUUUGAGUGUACCCUUUUGCUACCAGUCUUGCUUAACCAAAAAGGCAACAAUCAGCAAGCCAAAUGAAUUGGAACAAAAAAACUCUAAGUUAAAGAUAUAGAGAACCCCAUUUCAACAGAGUCGACCCUAGCCAAAGUGAGUCAAAAUAGAGAGCUUGAGGAUCUCGUUUCCUCUUAAUCUAACCAGAUGAUCCGAAAAUUUCUUGAGCAAACGUGAUAACGUCCUUCGAUACGACGUGGAUAGUGUUCGCCAUCAUAAUCGGAUUUGUUUUCGUAGUAGCAUUCUUUCUCUUCAUUUUGCUAUAAGGAUUUGUCUUAGUAGUCUUCUUCCUCCUCGAAAAGCCCUAACGUUAAUUUUCUUAGCUCAUUUUCUCAACUCUCACUGUAAAUGUUGUACUUCCUAGGCCUUUCUACAUUUUUAAAGAGGUGCUCUACUUUUACAGGUCUCUGAUGAAACCUACUACUCCACUAAAUUUAUGGAGCUUUGACCCAAAAUAGUACAUUUUAAAAAAAAAUUCCAAAAACUAACAUUGUUUCCAAAAUAAUACCCAAUUUAGUGCGUUUGUGCUACAUAAGCUGUCAUGUCAUAAAACCGUAAUUGGUGACUAUGGUUUUAUUUUUUUUAAAUGUUUAGAAACCGUAGUCACCAACCACGGUUUUAACUUUAAGUUAAAAGCCGUAGUUGGUGACUACGGUUUUGACUUUUUUUAAAAAUGGUCAAAGCCGUAGUCACCAACUGUGACUUUAACUUUAUAUAUAUUUAUAUAUAACUUUAAUUUUUUAAAUAAAAAUAUUAUAUUAUUUUGAUUUUAAAUAUACUUAUUUCAUUAUUUAAAAAAUAAUAAUAUAUGAAAUUAAAUAAUUGAUAUUUUUAAUUUGAUAUAAAAUAUAUUUUUUAAUUUUAUUAAAACAAUAGGCACUAUAUUUAAUAUAAAUAUAAAUAUAAUUAGUUAAUUAAAAUUAAAUAUAAAUAAAAUAUAAUAAAUUAUAGUUAUUUAAAAUAAAUAAAUUAUAAAUGCCUAUUUAGAAAAAUAUAUAUAUAUAUAAAUUAUUAUAUUAAUUAAUAAUUUUUUAUAUAUUAUAUGUAAGUGGUAUAUAUAUAUAAGUUUAAUUUAAGUUUAAAAUUUAUCACAUUUUUAUUUAAAUAUAUAAAUAAAUUUUAUUAAAACAAUUGAUACUAUAUUUAAUAUAAAUAUAAUUAGUUAAUUAAAAUUAAAUAUAAAUAUAAUAUAAUAAAUUAUAUUUAUUUAAAAUAAAUAAAUUAUAAAUGCCUAUUUAGAAAAAAAUAUAUAUAAAUUAUUAUAUUAAUUAAUAGAAAAAAAUAUAUAAUUAUUAUAUAAAUUAUAUUAUUAUAUUAUUAUAUUAUAUAAAUUAUUAUAUUUUUGAAAAAAAAAUAUAUUAAAAAAAAGUGAGUCAAUUGAAACAAAUAAUUGGAUACCAUCACCAAUUAUCUUGCCUAAAAGAGCUUCAUGCCACAUAAAGGAUCACAUCGAAAUUGUUGAUGCAAAGCUCUAAGGUUCAUAACAGAGCCAUCUAGACCGUGACAUUUAAGUCAUUGGUAGAUGAACUGUAAUAAUUUCAACUUGUACCAAUCAGCACAAAAAAAACGUAGGAACCCUCAUUUCAACAAAAAACAAAUAUUUAGAAAGUAGACACAUAGUAGACCCAUAGGAUGCAUGAAGUAAAAUCUAAAAACAGGAGAAUUGAUGGAUGAGAAAGUUGGUCGACAUUAUAAAUCAUAAAUAAAACCUCAAAUGCAUACGGUCUAUGAUUAUAAUAGCAAAAAAAUACAAAAGGUAAUUAUGUUCAAUGAAAGCGACAAUCUAUCAUAGUUAUAGGAAAUACUUCAACCCAAUGUCCAUGUUAGUCUCAAUCACCAUGAAAAAUUUUCCACUACUCAUCAUCAAGUUGUAUCUAUAAUCUUCCUUGGGAGAGAUAAAAAGAAAGCGAUUUGCAUUGAGAGAGAGAAAAAGAAACAAUAUGAUUGAAGGGUGUGUGCAGGCCUAAGUAGGCACACUCCUCCUCGCUCUUUAACCAACAUGAUUGUAAAACUAGUUAUAUAUAUUUUUUUCUUUUCUGAAAAGUACCUCAUCUACAAUGACACAAUAUUAUUGAUAUAAAUAUUCCCCAAAUGAUACGAGGCAAAAGUAUAUCCAUAUCCAAUUUGGGAAACAAAUGAUAGCCUAUAACAAUUCAAAUUCCAAACUUUAUUGGUUCCAACCUCAUCUCAAAUCCAUCAAAGUAGGGGCAUGGCUCUUACCCUUUUUUUCAAUAAUUGAGAAAUCUAAAACCAUUUAUCACUAAUACUACCAUGAUGUUGGUAAAAUAACUAAAAAAAUUUAAAAAUAUAAAUUCCCAAAGUGGCCUCAAUUUUUUCUUAACCUGAAUUUGCAUGUUCGUAUCAUAUAAUUCUUCAACAUAUCUAGAAGGAUUAGACAAAAACUGACAAAAGGUUAGAAACCCUAUAAAAUCAGGGUCAAAAACUCACUAGGAAAUUGCUUCAGAUGAGUAGGAAUAAUUAAUAGAUAGUAUGAAACUUGAGAUAGUUGAAGACCAAAAAUAUUGCACCACCAUGGAGUCUUAUGUCUUAGGUGGAAUCUUCGUUUGUAGGAAACAUAAUAAAUUUAAAAGAAAGUUAACUACAAACAAAAAUAGGAAUCAGAAUCCCUAGAAAAGUACCCUUGAGAAUCCUAGCAAAUAGCUUCCCAACCAAUAGAAUCAAACUAACAGAACAUUGCUCUUGUUAAACGUACCUAGUCCAAAGCGUCGAUCCCACCAAAAUCUCUUUAUUGUCCAGGGUGUUCUCCCCCUUCCACCGACUCAACUUCUUGCCAGAAACCUUUAGUUUCAGUUAUCUUAUUCCGGGUUAUAUCCAAAACUAUAAUUUAAUAUAACACAAUAAAGAAAAUUAAAGUGCAAUAACCUAAAUCUAAAGGCUUUGGAACUUUAUGAAAUUGUUUCGGCUAUCUCUUACCUCUGCAAAUUGCAAUUCAGGAAAGCCCAGUGUCGGAUUUUACAUGAAUCUCCCAUUGAAGCCCAUAGAACAUUGGAAACGUACCCAAUUUCGACAUUUUCGAUUAAACCUUAUAAAUGAUUAAUUAAAAACCCACCCCAUAAAAGAUUAAUCAAAAACCCUCCACAUCAAAAUUUUAGUCAAUCAUGACAUACUUCAGACUUGUUGAGAGAACUGCAGGGAACGAACCUGUGUCAUAAAUACACCUUAUCCCAACCUUAACCUUAACCCUAAACCCUAACCCUAAUCCUAAACCUAGCCCUAACUCUAAUGCAAAACAUUAACCUAAAGAUCAUAAGAAAUGAAAAUGACUUUUCUUCCAAAAUAGUUGUUUUUAAAAAGGAGAAUGAUUAAAAAUAAUAUUUUUAAAACAUUAAAAAAUAUCAAAAAACAAAUUAAAAACCUUUUAGAUUCUAAAUAUGUGUUAUAUAAAAUAUUAGAAAAAAAUUGUUUCUAAUAACUAUUUUUAAACACAUUUUCUAAAUGGAGAUUAUAUUUUUUUUAGAAAAAUUUAAAAAGCAAAAAACAAAAAAUCACUCAAAAAAAUAAAUCUCAAGUUCAUUUCAAAAUGAAUCCAAAUUAAUAUGAUAUAUAAUUGGGAUUUAAAUAAAUAUAAUUUCAUAAAUUUUAAACAAUGAUAUAAAAAACAAGUAAAAUCUUUUAUAAAUCUAUUUAAUAUACUUACUUAUCAUUGUAUUUCUCAUUCUAAUCUAUUUUUCAUUCUUUUAAUUUAUUAACUUUUACUUUUUCAACUUUUAUAUUUGUUUAUGUACAAUUUUUGGUUUUAUAUACUUUUCUAAUAAAUUAAAGGUUUUUAAUUUUUUUAAAUUAAAAGUUUUGUAAUUUUAUAUUUAAUAUUUUAAAAGUAGAUUCUGAUUCUCAUAUGAUUUUGAAAAUUUUAAACAAUUUGGAUUUGAAUGCUUGAUUAAAUAAUGGUACAUUUACAAUAAUACUUAAUUAUUAGAUUAUAUAUAUUUUUUCAAUAAAAAGUUUCAUCACUUUGGCUUAAUUAUUAAAUUAUUUUUAGUACAUUUUAUUUUAGUUUAACAUGGCAUGGUAAAACAAAUAAUUUUACAUCUUUUUCUUUCUAUUAUCAAUGCAAAUUAGCUUGUUAUAAAAUUUAUAAAAAACGUUAACUUCAUUAAUUUCCCCCUAAAUUAAUCUUUUAAAAAAUGUUAAUAAAAAUAUUACUGCAUUUCACAAGUGACAACAGAAAAAAGAAAAAAAAAGUUUAUGAUUUUAUUUAAAAAUUGAUGUGUGUAAAAUGCAUAAAGGGAAUUUUUGGCUACUCAGCUCCAGAAUAUGCAUGCAUGGCCACCUUGCAAUACCCAGAGUCACUGCACACGUAUCAUCCCGAGCUGGAAGAAUGAUACUGAUCUCUUGCAGGUCUGUACCAGAAGAAGCUCUGGCAUCGGUUCACCCUCAAGCCUUGAAUGUGGCACUUUCAUUCCCACUAUUGGAGCUUAUGUAUUUCAUUCAUGGUAUUCAUCAGUACCAUUGUCGGAAAGCAGUGUUCUAUAUGCUUCUGUGACUUAUGAUCGUGUGAAGAGUUCUGUUUUGGAAUCUUUUGCUUUGAGCAGUGGGUUGAAUUUUAAUGGUGAUUCAGUUCCAAAUAAGCUUGAGAUACCGGGUUUUACCUUCUUGCUGAAAAUGGUCCUGUUGACAGUGGAACUGAUGAGAAAGCAAAAAUCAAAUGAAAGAACAAAGACUGAUAAUUCAAGGCAUCACUCACUUCUCCUGCAGCUGCAUGCAACUCGGCUUGGCUGUGAACCAGACGACAUAUGUGACUUUGGGUUACAAGCAUGUGACACUCAACCAAAUACAGUCGCUGAUCCCAUGAAAGAAUUCAUUUUCUCAGGAAAGCUAAACCUUAUCAUGAUCAUGACUUUGUUUUCUCAAUAGUCGAUGACCAUAUAUGGUUUCUGAAGUCUGAACCAUCAGCUUUCUGUUCCUCAUAACGAAUCUUAUAAGGUGGAUCAGGAAGGCUUAGAUGAAAUUACCCUAGUUGAGGUUGGUCCAAGAUUUUGUUUGAAUCCUGUCAAGAUAUUUGGUUGCAGCUUUGGAGGCCCAGCGUUAUAUGAGAAUCCAUUUUACACAUCAUGAAAUCAGAUUCGAUCGAGCACUAGAGAAGAGGAAGAAUGUCGACAAGUAUGCGGAGAAAGAGAAAGCCAAGACAAGAAGGAAGAUGCAUGAGUUUGAAAAUCCAUUAGAAGCUGAUGAGUUUCAGAUAUGUCAAAGGUGUAGCAUGUGAUCUCGGGCAAUGGUAUAAGUUUUGGAAGCCUGAGAAUGAACGGAGGAAGAGUCCAAGUGGAAGCAAUACAUGUGGAUAGUUGCAGCUUUAAAGAAACUCAAAAUAGAGCAAGGAUCAAGACAUGGCAGGGAGGGUCUGGACAUGCCAGGAAUAUCACAUUCAAUAGCAUUAAGUUCUAUGAUACAGAGAAUCCCAUCAUCAUCGACCAAUAUUACCGUCCCCAGAAUAGAUUGAUAAGGUUUCAAUUUUACCACAUUUUUUUAUUUUUGGCAGCACGUGCAUGAAAGAGUAGGCCGGCAGUGACAUUUUCUUGAGGAAUCAGAGAACGACACGUACUCGAAAUAUUCUGGAGACCGUUUGGGAAGAUAGUGGAGAGCUGCUACAGGCCGUAACAGAGGGGGAGCGUCUUUGGUUGCUCAAGGGGAAGGUUACAGAGAGGGGGUGGAUAGCUUGGAGGGCAAGAAUAUUUGAGGGGAGGAGAUAUUUUUGUUGCUUGGGAGGCAAGACAGAGUGGGAGAAGGGAUUUUUCAGGGGGUAUUCUUUGAGAAAGAAAAGAACAGAGAGCUUGGGGGAAAGGCUUAGAGAAGGCAGAGAGAACCAGUAGAGAGCCUUGGGGGAAUGAAGGGGUGUUAUGGAGGUGAGCAGCCUAGUGAGAGAGAUGGAGGUUCAGAGUGAGUUUUUCACAGGCUGGAGGAAAACCCGAGCUGGGCAGAGAGGGCUGUUAUGGAGGUGAGCAGUCUAGCGAGAGAGAUGGAGGUUUAGAGUGAGUUUUUUUUUACAGAGUGGAGGGAGCUUUUCAGAGAGCUUGAAGAGGAUAGCUAGAGGAAGAGAAAGUUGAGAGGAGAAAGAGGCGUUUCGAGCUGAGCAGAGGAGGAGCUUGUCUUUUCGGUCCAGGUAUGAUUUCAGCAUGCUUUACAUUUUCUAUUUCAGAUUGUUCCAUUCUAUUUCCUGCUGAUUUUCAGGUUCAUUUGGAUGUUUGAAUGUAGACAUCAGAUACUAUGUGUGUUUGUGGAAUCUAAGACAAUUUUUAUGCAUUUUUUAUCUGAUUCUAGUCUGGCACUUUUGGCUCUGUUUAUGAACAACUUGAACAUUCCUCUGUUUUAUGAAUGAUUUGAAUAUAUAACUGCAUCCGAUUUUCAAAAAUCACACUCUUGCUUCCUUUUGAUCUCACCUGUAUUAGCCCAUGGAUGUCACCUGAAAUGAGGCUCAUUACGUUCAUGAUUUGCUUGAUCUCCUUUGGAUAUUUCUUCAGUCCUUGCCUUGCUCCUAUUUUCUUUUGUUCAUUCCCCUGUUUCUGGUAAGUCCCGGGUGUGAGGAUCAGAUCUGGAUUGGCCGAACAACUACAAGAGAGUGCUCUUCCAACGGUUACAAAUGGCCCUUUUACCAUCAACCACACUCUGCACCAAAGCCACCUCUUCUGUAACUACCACAUGUUGGGCACCUUUAUGCAAAGCUGUGUAUUGCAGACCAUGAAUCUCCUAUAGCGGACAUGGAUGCUAGAAUUGGUAAAGAAACUGGUUCUGAGUUUUCUUCCUACGGGUCCAAAAGUGAAAGGGUAGGGAGAAAAUCUGUGGAAACCCAUGUUGGUUGGACAGUGGAGGAAAAGAAUGAGAAACCGGCGUCACCGGGACCCCCUCCGAUUCGAGUCUCGAUCACCGAAAUGGCAGGGCGAGGCGUGUUCGCGACUCGGAGGAUGGGAAGCGGAGAUCUCAUCCACACAGCGAAGCUUCUCAUAACUCAUCCUUCGCUCUCCAGUAUUCAUAGCGUCUGUUACUUUUGCCUCAGAAAACUCAAACCUGUAACCUUUUCUGAAGAUUGCACUGCUCGAUUUUGGUAGCCAAGGAUUUGCAUGGAAAUGAGUGGCGAUUCCGCCCUAUUUUUUGAGGCCAACCAAAGAAGCACCUUCUUCAAAGUGGUUGGAGUCUUUUUUUUAUCAGUUUCAAAAAAGCUUGUUACAGGGGAUGCUUUUAUUUUCCUGAGAGGUGAAAAAGGGGGGACUUCGUGUAGGGGGAACACGGUAUACAUCUUGGUGUUCUUGCUACAGCUUGGCAUGCAGUCUCUACGGGUACAGUAUUCACCGUCCGUUUCCCACUGAUUUAGUUCCUAUCCUACCCAGUGGCUGCAUCUCCAUGAGCACAUUGAUCUUGGAAUCCAAUAUGAUCCCUCAACUGGAAUUUAUGGUAUGAACCUCUUUGUUGUUUUGGAGCGCCUGGGUUACCGUGCUGGCCUUCGUAGCAUGUUAGAAUCCAGCACAGGGUUACGAAGGAUGAUGCUAUGAAGUGGUUCUCCUUACAUCUGCUGCUUCAUUUAUCAAGAUGAUACAAGGCACAACUUUGGGCAUUCAUGAGGUUUCAUUUGCCCCUUCGUCCCACUCCUACCUAUUGCCUGCAUUCUCAUCAACGUCUACUUAUUGGUGAAUCUUGGAUCUGCUACCUGGACCCGGGUUUCUAUAUGGUUGGUGAUGGGAACGCUCGUUUAUGGAUUCUAUGGGAGAAGACACAGCUCACUGCAGGAUGCAAUUUAUGUACCAGCAGCCGAUGUGGAUGAAAUCUAUGGAAGCUUUUCACACUGCUCAGACGGCUUGGGUGUGGUGAUAUUGGCAGUGUGUAUCAGCAAUUCGGAAUUUGCAUCAUGUUCUGGGUGGUGGUCUCUACCCGAAUGCCGCAUAUCUGAUCAUCCGUGGCAUGAAGACACUGCAUUUUCAUGUACAGCAACAAAACUCAACACAGUUGCACCCCUGGGGACCCACUCUUGAAUGGUUUGCAUGGUCACCUUUGGGCCACGUGUCAUUUUUUUAUUUUUUAUUUUAUUUCAUCACCUUUGAUUUAAAAAUAAUUUCUCAAUUUCUAGUUUUCAAAUAGUUUUCCAAUUUCUAGAUUUCCAAAUAAUUUUAAGUUUUCAAAUCUUCAUCCUUAGAUUUUUUUAUUAGGUUCCAAAAAUCCAUUUUCCAAUAAGAUUUGCCGCCAUUUUCUUUGCGGCAAGCAACUUUCGUAUUUUCCUUUAUUUUUAAAAUGUUUUGGAAUAAGCGUGAAUUUAAUUUCGUAAUUCCGAAUAAUGGAAAUUCAUGAGAUUAAUUCAUGCAAAAAUAAAUCGGGUUUUGGUGGAGCCCAACAUUAGGAUUUUCUCAUUGAUUGAUUGAUUGUCAUUCUUGACUUUGAUUUGCUCUGUGACACAUGUGAUUAUUCGUUUACUAACUUUUGUUUUCUAUGAAACAAACAACUCAUUACUCAAUUACACGUCUUGUCUUCCUUGUCCACUUGAUUAUUUCUAAAUUGAUAUUCUCUUGGUAUCCAUAUUUGAUCUAUCAGUUGUCACACUUGCUUUGACUUAAUUAGUAGAGACCUAAUUCUUAGGGCCUAGAAGGGUGCUACAGUUUUUCACCGUACCUUCCUAAUAGGUAACCCGACCCUCGGACCCAGACUCGGUUUUUCACAGACCUGUUUUCCUUCAUGAGUCAUGUUUAGGGUUUUCUUUUUUAUUUUGUUUAUUCUUUAAAAAUAAAACAAAAAUAAGUGGCGACUCUAAGUCAUUUUCUAAAAAAUAAAUCGUUUUCAAAUAAAAAGCGAGUUUGCCAUCGAGUGAAAGUACAUGAGCAGAAAUGUAGGAUCCACAGGUAGCCUAUACUACAAGUAUACAAAACAAGCAUAAAUUAUAUCAUUUCUUCAAAAUGAUUUAGUCUUCCUAUGAUGCAAAGGCAAAAGCCUCAAGACGCUCUCAACAUGAGUAAAACAACAUCCAAUCAAUAGCACAUGCAAAACUCAAGCAUUAAUCCCAACAAGUGUCUUUUACUCUACAUCUAGAAGUGGAAAGAAUAGGGUACGUAUACAACUCAGUAGGAGUAUGAUCAUCCUAUAUAUAUCCUUAAAAACCUUAAAUUAAACAUAUAGUAGCAUGCAUGACAAACAUUUUAUAACCAUUAACAAAUAUGCAAUAAUUUCAAAUAUGCAUGCAUAUGAGUGAUGGUUUCAUUUUUGCUUUGCCUCAUAUAUUCUCUCACACAUGACAAAGUGUCAAUCCCCACCAAUGUACAUAUUAACCACCAAUGCUCCAAAAGAUGCUUGAUCAUAAAUAAUGACUAUUUUAAACUACCACCCAAGGACAAGUCAUAUUUCAUGUCUUUUAGGAUUCAUACCCAAUGAUAGGACCAACCUUGUCUUUUGGGACUACAACCCGAGGACAUCACCAACCCCGUGUCUUUAGGGACUAAAACCUAGAGGCAAGACUAACCUUAUACACCUACAUCAAAGUGUCUUUCUCGAGGGCUUUAAGGAUUUUCACCCAUAGACACACGAUAUCGAAAGGCAGUGUCUGUAGUUUCUCAUAGAUACUUCCCACAUACUAAUUUGUUCUUUGGAUAUUAUCUGUCAUUGUUCACCUUGAUUUCAUUGCUAUAUUUUAAAACAAUGAACUAACAACACUAUAGCACAUUGAAAUAUUUUAUAAAAUCAUAUUAAAGAUAUGAAUUUCCAAUAAACACUUUAGGAAAAGAAAAUAAAGAUACACAAUAGAAUGAUAUAAAAUUCUUUACCUUACAUUGACUUCUCCUUUGCAAUUUUUCUAUGUAGACAACUCUUAGCCAUUACAAGAAACUGAAAUGAAACAAUAUAAUUUAGGUUUUCCUACCAUAAAAAUUACACAAUUAAGGCUAUGACAUUUUUUCUUUAUUCCUAAUUUUAACAAUUUACAGUUGCUAACUUUAAUUUCCAUACUCUCUAAUCUAUAUGCCCGUAAGUUUUCAAAUCAAAUUUAAGGUGAAGUAAACAAUAUUUCAUCUACAUAUUGAUAUUCCCUAACUAAUGAACAUACACUAAUUAUUUUGAUUCUCCUUAAACUCAACCCAUUAACAAGCUCCAAAUGCACAGAUAAACUUACUUAAUCACAUGAUUCAUUAAUUUAUUUUUUUCAAUUAAAGCAAACUAAACAAACGAGCAUGCUGAUUCUUCCAUCAAAAGAUACUUAAAUUGAAAUACUUAAAACCCUAAUUAACUUUAAUUUAUAGCUAAUUAAAUUCAGUUUUUAAACAUACUUUACCAUUAAUUUACUUCAAAAGACUAUUUGGACUCUAAAUCUACCAAAAUUUCUAACCUUGUCUUUUUGUUCACCUUGAUUCCUCCCCUUUCUCUCUCUAACCCACCAAAAUUUUGUAGAGAAUGGACUGAAAUGAAGGCUCACAACUCUUAUAUAAUGGUCCACAAGCAACCAUGCAUGAGGUGGCAAGCUCUAAGGCUACCACUAACCAUAAGUUUUCCAUAUUCCAAUUUAGUCCUCCUACUUGUGAUAUUUUAUGCUUUUGUAGCUGCUAAUCAAUCACUUAAGUCCUCUUAAUUAUAAUUAACUCCCAUGAAGCUAAUACAUCUUCUUAAGCCGUUAACUAAUCAUACUUAACCUCAAUCAAAUUUUAAUUCAUAAUUAAACAAGAUUAGCGUUAAAUUAGUUUUAGACUCUAAUUAAGCACGUUUAAGGUUAAGUACUUAGGUAUUGUUGUUUAUUUAUGUCAUUACUACUAGGUAUUACAAUCACCCUUCAAAGCUAUUUUAGACGUGGGUUUCACAAUUGGAUUGGCCUUUGCAUUAGAGAUAUGUCCCUAACUAGAAGGUCCAUCUUGAGGCAUAAGCUCCCACUACCCUUCACUUCCUUCUGUUGCUUUUCCACUUUAAAAACAAGCUUGCACACAUCACCAUAAGUCUAGUAAGGCUACAAUUGGACAACAUUACCAAUUUUAGGUUUCAAACCUCUAAGAAAACAUGCUAUGGUUUGUUCUUUAAGUUUAACAAGAUCACAUUUCAUCGUGAGGUGGUCAAACUCUGCUGUAUAUUCUUCUAAAAACAGCUUCUUUUGUUCGAAGUUGUGAAGGUUAAGAAAAAUAUUUUCCUUGAGUUGUUUGGCAAAUAUUUUCUCUUCAGUUCCCUCCUCAUCUUUUCCCAAGUCAUUAUGCUUCCCCUUCCUUCAUGAGCCCUCUGUUUUUUUAAGAUUUUCCCACCAUAAAAAAAAAAAAGAACUUUCUCAACCUAAUAGCAACAAGUUUCACCCUACAAACCUCUAGAACUUCUUUGUAGUCAAACACCUGUUCAUAGUGUGAAACUAGUCAAUAAACUCGUCUGGUUGCAUUCUAUUUUCAAACUCUGGGAUAUCAACUUUAACAUCAAAGUCUUUUAGAACACUAUGAUUUCUUUGUACACAAGGAGGAGGAGAGACUUCUCUUAAAUGUUGGCUUGGAUCUCUAUGAAAAGGAUUGAUGUCUUCAUUUUCAUUGCUAGGAGCCUCAUGCUCUGUAUCAUGAUGGAAUUUAUUGUGCCCAAGAGCCUCAUAACAUUUUAAAUGAUGUUGUGGUUGUUGUACUUGUCUCCUUAAUUAUUUCACCUCAAUGUCACAAACGUCUCUUUCAUGACCAGGACGUUCUUCUUCAACAUUUUAUAUAUGUGACGACGACCAACCAUGAGAACUUAGGAUCUAUGCUUUGAUACUGAUUGACCCCAACAUAAAUGAAAAAAGAAAAGAACUAAAUAGAUAGGAAGGAAAAAUACAAGCUCACCAUCCAAGAAGAAAACACUAAGAAAUACUCUUUCUCUCUUUGACUUCCAAUUACCAUAACUUGGAACAACCCUCCAAGCAUGAACAAUUUCCAAAACUAUAUUUUCUAGGUAAAUUAUAAAGCCUUACUAAGAUCUCAAAAUCCACUGUAAUAUACCUAAGAAGUAGAACUUCUCCAAUUCUCAAGUAGCACUGGACAGCUGGACCUUUCUAUGGAAAACUAAAUAUAACUUUCUCUCUAGAACUCCUAAUGAAGUCCCGUUAAAUGCGUUGGAAUCUUAACUCAAAGACCUUUAAUGUGGCAUAUAGUAUGCAUAGGAAUUUUCAAUAUCCCAGUACUUGAUUUACCAUGAAUAUACCCUUACAAAAGUAGUUUUUACCUCCCUGCAUCUCACAUAAUUAAGUAAGGAGCUGCAACUUUUAUUUAAUUAGGUGUUAGAUCAUACAAUGGGACAUUCCUAUGUCACGCUUGGUUUGGUGUUUAUUAAAUAUUAAUUUUUCUUGAUGGUCUCUUGCUGCUUUUUGCUUGCAAAAUUAAAGUUACCCCACCUUUUAUUGUUCUAUUUUUGCAGUACUAAAUCAAAUCACAUGCAUUCCUUGUGUUUUUUUUCCAUUUUUUGACUCGAAACACCCUUUCUCAACUUCACUUAUGAUCACUAGUGAUCCAUUCUCGCUUGGAGCAAAUAAUUUGCUUUUUUCAUUUCCUAGUUUUAUUUCAUUUUAUUCCACUCUCUUCUUUGUUUUCUGUUUUUUCUGCUUUCAUUUGUUCAUUUUUUUCUCAGUAGUUACUGUCUGUUUUCUGAAGCAAAACUAGAAAAAUAAAAUAAAAAAUCCUAAUAAACUGAAAUGGUGUUUGCUUAAAUAACAUGUUUAGGGGAAUCAUUGUAAGAUCCAUUUCAUAUGUUGUUUUUCAUAUUACCACACAUUUGUGCAUUCCAUAUCAUAUCAUUGUAGAUGUUAAGAGUUAUUUCAACCAUGAGUUUUGGUAUUUUUAGUUGCCACAUAUCUGUCAGUCCCCCCUUCAUAUCUUGUUGGCAAUCUUACAAUCUUUUAGUUAGUUUUUGUCCUCAUUUUAUCGUAAUUUGAACUGAUAUUUCUAUUAAUAUUCUUAGAGUUUUUCCUUCCAAUUAUUGUAAGUUUUUAUUUUGGUUGAAAUUUUCAUGUUACCGAAUGGUAAAAUUUUGAUUAAUUAAUUCUUAAAUCUUGGUUUUCAUAUAUACUUUCCAACCCCAUUUUAUUUUUGCAUUUCUACAGUGCAUCUAGCAUCCCCAUUUUUGUCAGAGAUGACUCAUCCAUCCUCUCCAGAGUCUACGGUGCAGCCAUUUCCACGAGAGGAUCCAGCAUCCCCAUUUGAGUCGGAGACGAGUCAUUCGUCGUCUCCACAUGCCAUAGUGCAGCAGUUGCUUGUGCUGGAGCAUCCGGGAUCCCCAUCUCAGUCGGAGUUGAGUCAUAUAUCAUCUCCGCAUGCCACAUUGCAGCAGCCAUUUCUGUCAGAGAUGACUCAUCCAUUCUCUCCAGAGUCUACGGUGCAGCCACUUCCACGAGAGGAUCCAGCAUCCCCAUUUGAGUUGGAGACGAGUCAUUCGUCAUCUCCACAGGCCACAGUGCAGCAGCUGCCUGUGCUAGAGCAUCCAGGAUCCCCAUCUCAGUCGGAGUUGAGUCAUGUAUCCUCUCCGCAGGCCACAUUGCAGCAGCCAUUUCUGUCAGAGAUGACUUAUCCAUCCUCUCCAGAGUUUACGAUGCAGCCACUUCCACGAGAGGAUCCAGCAUCCCCAUUUGAGUCGGAGAUGAGUCAUUCGUCGUCUCCACAGGCCACAGUGCAGCAGCUGCUUGUGCUGGAGCAUUCGGGAUCAUCAUCGCAGUCGGAGUCGAGUGAUAUAUCAUCUCCGCAGGCCACAUUGCAGCAGCCAGCUCCACAUCCAUCCUCUUCAGAGUCUAUGGUGCAGCCACUUCCACGAGAGGAUCCAGUAUCCCCAUUUGAGUUGGAGACGAGUCAUUCGUCGUCUCCACAGGCCACAGUGCAGCAGCUGCCUGUGCUGGAGCAUUCGGGAUCAUCAUCGCAGUCGGAGUCGAGUGAUAUAUCAUCUCCGCAGGCCACAUUGCAGCAGCCAGCUCCACAUCCAUCCUCUCCAGAGUCUACGGUGCAGCCACUUCCACGAGAGGAUCCAGUAUCCCCAUUCCAUUCGGAGACGAGUCAUCUGUCGUCUCCGCAGGCCACAGUGCAGCAGGUGCUGGAGCAUCCGGGAUCCCCAUUACAGUCAGAGUCGAUUCAUAUAUCAUCUCUGCAGGCCACAUUGCAGCAGCCAGCUCCACCACCACUGUUCAUGCACCCUACGUUGUUGAAAUUAUGGCUUCGGAGAUGGUGGAUUAUAUGCAUGAUAGCAGCUAUUGGGUUGUUAUUUUUGAUUAGUUGGAGCAUUCACACAUCACAGAAGAAUGACGCGAACAUCUGGUGCACCACUCCCAAUGCGACAGUUACCAAGGAAAGUAAUGCACCUAGCUCCACCGUUCAGGGUGCCCCCAUCCUCUUUAGGACUAUCAUGGCAGCAGUUGAUGCAGCACCGGGUGAUAAUGAAUGGCCUUUCUGUAUACUGAUACAGAAAGGAGUUUAUAAAGAAAGAAUUGUGAUAGAAAGAAAUAAAAGAAAUUUGGUUUUGGUGGGGGAAGGAAUUAACAAAACCAUCAUAUCAUCAAAUGGAGCUGUCUUGUCCACCGAUCGCUAUAUUUCAGAACUCGCAACCAUUUGUAAGUUUUUCAACUUUAAUUUUAUUUAUUUUUUCAGUUUUAGGUUUAUAUUAUGUAAGCUAUUUCAUGUUAAAGUAGUUUUAUGGCUGAAAAAAAUAUUAUUGCAAAAGACUUUUAUUAGUUAAUUAUUUGUUGUAUUUUAAUCCCUUAGUUUUUUUAAGUAUUUUAAAUGUUAUGAUUCCGUUUUAUUUAAUAUUUUAUUUUUGUGACACUUUUAUAGGGGUUCUAGGAAAAAGAUUCAAGGCAAUGGAUAUUUCAUUUGAAAACAUGGGAGCUGAUCAACUAGAGAGUGUUGCAUUGAAAAAUUCAGGAGAUCAGUCUAUCUUCCAUAGAUGCAGCUUCAUGUCACAACAAGUCUCCAUUCAUAGUGAUCAUGUGGGGCAACAACUCUACCAUGAUUGCUAUAUUAGUGGCUCACAACACUUGAUCUAUGGAGAUGGACAUGCCAUGUUUCAAAGAAGUACCAUCCAUGUAAAUAAUUUGAAGCCAGAAGUGGGGGCUGUGAUUGCACUGCAAGAAAGAAGAAGUAAGUUCUUAGUUGGUGGGGGAUUUGUAUUUCAUUUAUGUACCUUUUCUGCUAGUACCCAAAAAGCAAUUAAUUACUUAGGUGCUUCUUCUGGACCUUCAUCUUUGAUUGUAAUUAUGCAAUCAUACUUAGAUAGAUCUAUUAGUCCUUUGGGAUGGUUAGUGAAGAAUAGGACAAGGUCUAUCUAUUUUGGUGAAUACCAAAAUACAGGUCCAGGAGCUAGACUAGAGCGAACAUCUCCCAAUUUCCACCAUAUCAGCCUUAAGGAUGCUUCUUCUUUUACUAUUAGAAAUUUUUUAAGUAGUACAGUUUGGAUUUUAUGUAAAGACAUACAUUGUAAAUUGGAUUUGGCAUGAACAUUAGUUACUACUUGUUGCAAUACACUAUUAUCAUUCUAUGUAUUGUGAGUUAGCAUUCUAAUCUACUUGUUGUAAUACACUAGAUUUCUUAUGCUAUCUAUAUAAAGUCAGCAUACUGGUCUUCACAGAAUCCCUUUGAACCAUCUCUUGUUGGCUGUAAGUUAAUAUUGUAGUAUUGAGAGAAUCUUUGAAGAAGGUUAAUAGAUAGCUUGUGGGAGGGGGAUAUCAGCUAUGAUACAUGUAUCACCAGGAAAUGAAGCCCAGGUGUGGUGGUGGUGUAUAAAGAACAUAAUUAUUGCAACUCCCUCUGAUGUGAAGUCACUUUUGACGAGGAGAUGACUAAGAAAUUUGCUCUUGAUGAGAAGAUUCUUACGUUGACCAAGAUGUUUGUUGCCACUGAAUACAUCUGCAGUGUAGAGAUGGAGACGGGAAGGGUGUGGGAAGGAGUAUGAUCACAAUUCAGAAGCAUAAGAUGGAGAUGAUGCUGCAUACAUGCUCAGGGAAGUAGGUGUUGAGCCUAAUGGGGAUGACGUGAAAUUGAGCCUUCCAAUUCCCAGUCAGGCAUAGUAGUGAAGGAAACAUUCGCAGCAAGACAAGGCUUUGGCCACAAGGCAGCAGAAGAGGUAUGGGCCUUUACUAUUUGUUAUCAGUCCCUCAUGGAAGUAUAGGCGAGCAUUAUGCUGUCAUACCACAGGCAUGCCUUCGGACUCGGCGAGCAUUACAAUUCUGUGAUCCCUGGCCUGGUGAUAUAGGUACCGUCAUUCAUAUGUGAAUACAUUAGGUGUGCAAAUUAUUUUUAUUUUAUCUGUGUGAGAACAUAACCCAUAUUCGAGCCUUGGAAUCUCAUCAAACUUGUCAACAUUUUUAUCUUCAAUUAUUAGCCAGUGCGAUCACUGCAUCCAGGUUCUAUCCAUUUUAUUUAAACCUGUUUCAGGUCUCCCCUCCAGUACUUAAAAGUACUGAAUUGCACUGAAAAGCAGCUAGGAUUGGCUUUUUACCAAGGUGUUUUCCUUGUUAAUAAUCUACAUCAUUUUCCUUGUUCCAGUAAAGAGGGCAAAUAUUCUUAAAAAGCUUGGUUGUUUAAUAUGCGGAUUUUGUGAUAUGAUGUUUGUGAAAAUAAAGCAGCUGCACUUGUAUGCAACCAAAAAGAAAAGGGUCAGCACACCUGGUUUCUGGCUUUUUUUGUUCUGUGGGAAGUAGUUUUCUGCUCAUUUAGACGAAUAAUGCUUCAUAGCAUGGACAAGAGGUGAGAAAGGCUUGAAGAAUGGUUCCUCUUUGCUUUUUUUUGAACCAACUUGGAAAGGAAGAAAUUGAGGAACCUUCAAAAGGGAUUUAACACACAAACCCGUCUUUUAAAGAAUUUGCAGCAGAAGCAACAAAAGCCUUUCCCAUUUCUUAUCAAUCCUUCAUGGAAGUAUAGGCAAAUGUUAGAUCAAGUGUUCGAGUGAAGUUUUGCUUUCCAUGUGUGAAAAGGCUUACAUAAAUACUGGGCCUAAAAAUUAUUGAUUCCAUGAUCAACUAAGAUGACAAUGACAGUAGCAAAGGAAAAAUAUUGAUGGUAGCAUAUAGAUUAUAGAAUUAGACAUUGGUAUUCAUUAAAUAAACGAGGGGAAGAUACCAGAACACUGCACAAGACUCCAUCCCUCGGUUUCACAAUUUGGGGAAUCAAAGGGACCUGUGACCACCUAAGAAAAGAGGACAUAUUUUCUUGUAUACAAAUAGUUACAAAACCUUGCAGCUAGGGGCGAAUAUCUCAUCCUACACACUAUACAAAAACAAUUAGCCUCGUUCAAUUUGCAACUCUUCCUUAUCUUCUCCCUUUAAUUUACAAACAACAACAAUAAUAAAAAUUAAAAAAAAAAAAAAAAAAAACUAGCCAACCAAGGCAUGGUACUUUCAUGGAUCCUCUCUCAUAUCUGGCCUUUCUCCUGGCCUGCAAAGCCAGCUGAGCAUCCCUCUCCCACUCAAAUUCCCUGCAAUCUGCUCCUUGCAAUAAAGAAACCUUCUCCAGGUACUGGUCUGAGAUCUUAUAUGCAUCCAACUCCUCUUCCAGACCCUUUUUGUCUUCCUUGAACUCACCCCCAUCCUUUCUUGUCUUGUCGAGCAUGAUCAGCUGCAGAUGCUGUACCAGCUGGACCUUUGGCCCUUUCAGAUGCCUCCUCUGAAGCAUCAACAAGCUUCUUUACUUCUAUCUCCACCCGCAAAGUCCCAUACCUCUGCAAUCUGUGACAUGGGGAGGAAAAAAAACAAAAAACAAAUACAACUGUCAUAUGGUUCACAGAACCAGUGAAAGGUUAUACCAUUAAGGCGUUCAAAUGAAUUUCAAAUUUAUCAUUUUUGAAGCUAUGCCAAACAAAUUUUAGUUCACCUCAAUGCUUGGGUAUUAAAGCAUAUGCAGUUUUUGAACUAGGAGUAAAUCCCACUGAGAUCAUACUGAUAAGAUGUCAAGAUAGGAAAUUAAAUAAAUUAGCUUAACUAUUACUGUUUGUCUUCAUUAUUUAAGUUGAAUCCUUAACCCACCAGGAACAAGCACCAACCAAGCCUGAGUUUUUUCUUUUUCUUUCUUUCUUUUUUUUUUUUCCUUUUUUGGGUCAAUUAAAUUGAUUGUAACCAGGAAGCCAAUUCACCAAGCUAGGGAAGCAUGUAGCAGUACAAGUGAUACAAUAAGCUUACUUCAACUUUUCCUCUGCCUGAAGCAGCUGCUGCAGCAUCCUAACUGCGGAAAGAGCAGCAGCAGCAAGUCUCUUCACCUCAUCAUUGGUGCUAUUCUCUGUAACACUAGAUCCCUUCUGUUGUACAUCUUGCUGAAGAUAAACUCUCUUCUUUGGCCCCAGGCCCAUAUAAAUGUCAUACACCUGUAUCAUAAAAUUAAGGUAAAAGACAGAAGUCUGGCCAACCAUUCCCAAAUGAACAGGAUAAUCAGAAAAUCCUCACAGUCGAAGUUCUGUUCACAGUUGAACUGGGUUUGUUUGUAAAAGAUUUGAGCACCUUAACAGAUACUCCUUUAUUCAUUUGCUCCCACACAGCAUCUACCUGAGAUUCUCUUUUUAGCAGAAUGAAGUGGCUUGUCAGCUAUCUUAUGUGGCAUUACUAAUCCUUAGCUUUGAUAAUGAAAACAUCAAUAAAAAGAAUUAAGUCUCAAGAAACAGCUUACACUCUUACCACUUUCUUCAGGUUGUGCCUCUGAGUUUGAAAUAGCUGCAACUUCUUUGACAGUCUCCAUUGAUAACUUAUUCUUCUUUUCCAAAGCACCUGAAACACAUAGUUCAACCAGUAAAGAAGAGACGCAGAAACCACAAUGAAUACAUAAGGCACCACAGUCAAUGGGCCUACCUUGAAAAUCAAAAUUGUGAAAAGUUUGGGAUGAACGGAUUAUUUUACCAUAUAUUGCUUAAGAAGAAAAAAAUAUAUUUUAGUGAUUUAUUUCAAAAUAUAUAUAAAUUUACUUUUACAAAUGGAUGCUCUACACCCACAUGCAAAAUGGUCUACAUUCUAAAAUCAUCUAAUCAUUUUGAUUCUUAGGCUCUUACAGCCCAGGCAACUUGCAAGUUGAGGAGCACUGCGCCAUAGGCCAGCCUAAUAAGGAAUCAAGGAUCAUCAAACUGUACACCACACCAUGUCAGAUAUGUCGCAUGUACACUAGAAUUUUUGAGUAGCAUUUUGGCAGACAUAUCUUUAUGACCACCUAGAGCCUAUUGCUUAACUAACUAGGCAUCACCACACUACCACUACUUGGCUCACACCUAACAUAGCAGAGUUGGAGGUCCACAUUGGCAAAGCAUUCUCUUUGCCAAAUCUGGACACUUAAAUUCUUAUCCUUCAAAAGCUCAAUUAUCACAAGGAUGUUGUCAAUCAUCCUUUCUCUUUCUCCAAAACAACACCACUGAUUACAAGUUAUAAGCUCCGUAUCAUACCCAUCCUCAUCCAUCAUCUUGCCCAAGACACCCUCCUUAUCCUAAUAAGCUUGUGACACAAUAGACAAUGCCCACAUCAGCUAUUGCAGAAAGUCUGUAUCAGCUUAUUGAAAAAAGAAGGAAGUCAUAGUCUUUAUAAGAAAAUCAAUAGAGGCACAGAAGGGGUAAGGUAAACGAUAUCAAGGAUCCACAAAUUGUUGUAAACUAGUAUAUCUAUAAUGUAAAUCCUCUGUGGGAUUGAACAGUAAAAAAGUGAAGGCUUAAUAUAUGAAUUUGAAGCAAACAGCAUGCCAAUUCAGAUAACUGAUUUAUAGGCAAACAGAAGAUAUGGUAAACAGUUCCAAUUCUUUGGUCAUAGCCAUUGAAGUCAACAUUCGUCGAUUGAUAUGCACACUUAUGUGUGCUGCUUGCAACUCACAAGGGCAGAAAGGACCAAACUCCAGGGCUUGUGCAAAAGCUUUAAUGGGUGUCUUCCGGGUCGGAUCUUAAAUGGGUCUAUGAGGGCAAUAUUGUCCAUCUACUAUUCACUUCCUCAUAAAGUAAUUUUAUAAAGGGGAAAUGUUAAAGAGAAUUUGUUAAAUGGGCCUCCCAAUCUCUCUCCACCCUGCAUAUAUAUUUUUUUAAAUGACAUAUAAAUAUAAAAGGGCAAAAAUAUCCGCUUCUUCAUUUCUUCUUUCCCUUCUUCCAUUUCAUUUUUUAAGAAAAAGAAAAAGAAAAAGAAAAAAAAAGUAGAGGUGGUGGUGGCGACCAAGGAGGACCACCAUUGCCACUUUUUGUUUUCUUUUUUUACUUCAUGAAGAGAGAAAGUGGAGGUAGGAUUAGUUUCAGUGGAGCAAAGAACAUAAGGAUAUUUUUAUCCUUUUUUUUUUUUUUUUGAUAGGUGAAAGCAAUUAUAUUAAAAAGAGAAGAGUAUACACAAUGUAUACAAGCAACCAAAAAAACAAAAAAGCGUGGAAACACAAAAAUAAGCACCCACACCCUACAGAGUUCCUAACCAAUCCACAAAAUCAAGCAUCGACAUGGAGCCAUCCCCAAUAUAUAGUCUUACCCAAUCCUAAAAUAGAUACAAAAACGAACUUUUAAAAAAAUGAAUAGAACAUUCACAAGUCUCAAAAGCUCUCCUAUUUUUCUCCCUCUAAAUAAUCCAAAAAAGACAUAAAGGAACAACCUUUCAAGCCUUUUUCCUUUUUCUACCAACAAAAAAGCCUCCCCAACUCAAGAGCAAACCUCACACCGAGGAGUGCAUCACCCACCAUACACCAAAUAAAGCAAAAAUCAGCAGUCACGACUUAUGAGCUUUCGGACAUUGAAGAAGAUAUGUUAGGGAAGGAAGCAAAUAAAAUGGGUAUAUUUAGCAUUGUCAUAUGAAAAUUUAUUUAUCGAUAAUCCAUAGAUAUUGUAGAUUUCUUAUAUAUAUAUAUAUGUGUGUGUGUGUGUGUGUGUGUAGAAGAGAAGAGGGAUUGAAGAAUAAAAGGUAAAAAUUCUUCUUCUUGAUUAUUCUGCACAGAGAAAUGUACAUAUAUAUAUAUAUAUAUAUACAAAAAUCCAAAAACCUAAAUUUAAGGACCUUCUCAACUCAAUUACAACAAAAUCUCAUUGAUUACAAGAUUGCCUAAUUCUCUAUUUAGAAUCACAUCUUUAUUAAUUUCAAUAUUCCACAGUCCUCCUCAAGCUGCUAAAUAGAUGUUUUCCAUUCCCAACUUGAAUAUACUUACUUGAAACUUUGUACUGCUUAAACAUUUUGUGAGUAUAUCUACAAGUUGGCGGUCAGUGGAUACAUAAGGGGUACAAAUCAAUCCACUAUCUAGUUUCUCUUUGAUAAAAUGCCUAUCAAUUUCUAUGUGUUUCAUUCCAUCGUGUAGCAUUGUAUUAUGUGCAAUACUGAUUGUAGAUUUAUUGUUGCAUUAAAGUCUCAUUGGCCUAUCCCAUUUCAUCUUUAAAUCUUCCAAAAUAAUUUUCAACCAUAGUAGUUCACAGACUCCUUGGGCUAAAUUAUGUUUAUGCACUAGAUCUUGCUACCAAACUCUGUUUCUUAUUUCUCUAUGUCACCAAAUUCCCACAAUACCCAAUAGUUGAUCUUCUAUCAAACACAAAUCAAGCAUAAUCUGCAUUUUUGUAUGCUUCAAGUACUAGUCCCGAACUUCAUUUAAACAGCAUGUCAUUUCCUAGAGGCCCCUUAAGGUACUGUAGUACACGAUUAGCAGCUUGCAGAUGAACCUCUUUUGGAUUGUGCAUAAAUUGGCUAAUCACACUCACAGUAGAUGCUAUAUCCGGGCUCAUUUUUGUAUGCUUCAAGUACUAGUCCCGAACUUCAUUUAAACAGCAUGUCAUUUCCUAGAGGCCCCUUAAGGUACUGUAGUACACGAUUAGCAGCUUGCAGAUGAACCUCUUUUGGAUUGUGCAUAAAUUGGCUAAUCACACUCACAGUAGAUGCUAUAUCCGGGCUCGCGUGAGAGAUAUAAAUGAGUCUUCCUACCAAACGUUGAUGCAUCUCUCUAUCUACCACAAUAUCUUCCUCAGUCUCUCCAAGCUUAUGAUUAAGAUCUAUUGGUGUGCUUGUUGGUUUACACGUCAACUUCCCUGUUUCCCUGAGAAGGUCUAUUACAUAUUCCUUGCUUUUAGUGCAAAUAACAAGUCUGGAUGUAUCAACCAAUCCAUAACCAAGCCUCUUGCCACAAGUCCAACCUGUGGUUGGUGGAAACAAUGUGAUGACUUGGUUUGCCUCAUGGAUUGUGAAUGUCGUUAACGAAGAACAUGCAAGAGAUGUCAUUUAUGUAGACACAACAAGAGACCUAUGGAUUGAUUCACAAUAAAUUAAAGCAUUAGAGGGUCAAAACAUAGACUCUUACAUCUUUGCCUCAAAAUAAAAAAGCAAUGGGAUGCAAGUAGGCUUAUAAAAUUAAGCAUAAUCCAAAUGGUGCCAUUGAAUGUUACAAGGUUCACUUAGUAGCUAAGGGUUAUAAUCAACAAGAAGAAAUUGAUUACCAAGAGACUUCCGCCCUAGUUGCUAAGCUCACAACCAUGCAUUGCUCACUUGCUAUUGUUGCAAUUCAAAAUUGGCAUCUUCACCAACUUGACAUCAACAAUGUUUUUCUUUAGGAAGACUUAGAUGAAAAGAUAUACAUGUAACUCCCACUAGAACUGAAAAUAUGGUUUACAAACUUCAAAAUCCCUUUAGAACCUUAAGCAAGCUUCGUAACAAUGGUUUGCCAAACUAUCAACCACAUCGAUGUCUACAAGUUACAAGCAAUCCAAGGCAAAUUACUCCCUGUUCACUUAAGCUUCAAAUAACUCCUUCACAAUCAUUCUUGUCUCUGUUGAUGAUAUAAUUAUUGCAAGUAAUUAUAUUGAAGGAAUUAAGGUGAUCAAGGAAAAUCUACAUGGAAAUUUCACACUAAAAAAUCUUGGAAUCUUCAAGUACUUCCUCCACAUUGAAGGGGCAUGUUCCAACUUCUAAAAACGAGAUUUAUUUAAGUCAACAAAAAUAUACUCAAGAAUUAUUCAAAGGGUUUCGUCUCCUUGGAACAUGUUCUUCAUAAACUCCUAUGGAGCCAACUCUGAAAUUAAGUAAAUAAAAUGGAGAACCUUUGUUAGAUGCUUCUUGUUAUAGGCGUUUGAUAGAAAGGUUGCUUUAUCUCAUAGAUGCAAUCAAUGAUAUCACGCUCAUCAGUAGAAGCAAAAUAUUGUGCAAUGACUACCACUUGCUAUUAGAUUAAUUGGUUACAUUAUUUACUUGCAGAUUUUAGAGUUCAAUACCCUCACCCAAUGCAUCUAUAUUGUGACAACAAGGCAGCUUUACAGAUUGUUGCUAAUCUAACUUUCCAUGAACGAACUAAGCACAUUGAAAUUGAUUGAAACAUGGUUUGUGAAACGAUUCAAAACAAAAUUGUCUGUACUCAAUUUGUUCGAUCACAACGACAAUCAGCUAAUAUUUUCAUGAAAUCUCUUGGUAUAGAUCUUCUCCAUUGCUUGCUUUCUAAAAUGGGUGUUCAUGAUCUCCAGAUGCCAUCUUGAAGGGUAGAUAUGGAAGAUAUGGAGUUGAUUCUUUCCCUUGAUUCUCCUUGAGCUUCUCCUUGAUAUCAACCCAGUAUUUUAUACUAAUUUGUUUCUUUAUUUCAUUUAUUUAGUUUCCUCCGUUUCCUUAUUUCUUUCAUUUAGUUUCCAUGUAUAUACCUUUGUACGAAUAGUAUAUAAACCAAUGUAAUCGUUUAGAAAUUGAUUUAGCAAUUGAAUAUAAUUGAAAGAGAUCAACAUGCUGUGAAGUUGAAUGCGUUACCUGUACAAUCUCUAACAUCAAGCUCUUGGCAAUUUGCAGGUCUCGUUUCUCCAAUGGAAUCAAGGAUUCUUCCAGUGCCAAAUAAGUGAAAUCAAUAUUUGCAAUGUAAGAAGACAUCUCCACUGCACUAGUUACAAGAAGCAAAUAUAUAUAUACUAUGCCAUCACUAGAAUUGAGAAUCAAUAAUUAUUUAUCUUUUCACUAGCAAUGUGAUAAAAAGACAUUGUACUUUCAAAAACUCUUCCAUCUAAAUCCCCUGUAGACAUGAUUCAGCAUAAACAAUGCUUGUUUUAAUGCAACAGGCAUUUCCACUACAAGAUUCAGAAACAAAAAUAAAGUUCCAAACUACAUCUAUAAACAACAUGACGGAUCCAGGACCCAAGAAAAUGGCAUAGCAAUUGAUCAACUUUAGCAUUUUGUGUUUGUUAGGAAUCUUUUUUUUUUUUUGUGUCUUUUUGAUAGGAAAACAAAAGCAUAUUAUAGCUAUAGGAGAAGAUACAAGAAAGAUGAGGUAAGGCACACUAAAGUAUAUAGGGAGUAUACAAAAGGCGAUGAGCAAAAAGAGAGAUGAAAGAAGAGUACAACACCCACCCCCAAUUAAUUAUCCCCUAAAAAAUCAACCAAAUUCAUCAUAGACAUAGAAGACCCAUCUAAAUGAAGUAUAAUACCUUCCAGGAAAUUAUGCAUUAAAGAGGAUUUAGGCAAUUUUUCCGAAAAUUCCACAUAAAGCAUAAUUGUUCUGAAAUUAUGCUAAAGAUGAAUAUUGUGUUUAAAGAUGUUGUAUUUUCUUUAUUUUGGAAGUUGUUUGAGGUUUUUAGGAAUAAAAUGUGAGUCUCUAUGCAUCUAGGACCCAAGAAAACGGCAUAACAAUUGAUCAACUUUAGUAGUUUUAAGUCUAUUAGAAAUCUUGUGUUUAAUGAUGUUGUAUUUUUGAGAUUUUGGAAGUUCUUUGUGCUUUUUAGAAAUAAAAUUUGAGGUUGUAUGGUUCACUUUGUUCAAUCUCAAGCUUAACAGUUGAUCAACAGAAGUCAUAACUGGUCUAGCGUCCAACAAACCAAUUGCUUCCAGCAGAUAAGCACCAUAUUCCUUUAGACAAUAUGAAUUCCAUUAUUUAGUACAACAAUAUGAUCACCUUGGAAAGUACUGGAUUUAACAAAGAUCUUUCGCAUCAAAAGAGCUUGUCCAGAUGAGUCUCCACAUGAGUCCAGCCAGUUCGGUUGCUCUUUUGAUAACAAUAUCAUAAACAUGCAUAAGCAAAAUAAACCACUCUACCUCUCAAAUAGAAAAGUACAAUGAUCUGAGGAGGUCAUGGAGAAAAAACAUUUCAGAUGUCCAGCAAGUGAAAGGCCAACAAGGUAUUCUCUGCAUUUGCAAGAGCUAAUGCCAAGAGCAACCUAUGCAACAAAAAUAUCAGUUUUGAACUAACUAUUACUAGCAAGGUAAAAUGAAUAGAACUCAUUGAAUUCAUAGCCUUUAAUUUUUAUUUUAUUUUUUUUGAUAAGUGAAUUCAUCGCCUUUAAUAUAUUUUACAAAAUUAUUAUUCUUAGUUUUGAUUAACUAUGAAUGGUAUCUAAAAAAGUAGAAUUGCUGAUGCUCAAUUUUGAGUUCUUACUGAAUUCAAUAGCAAACCAAGUGCACCUUCUCAAACACCACCAUCAUAUGCUUUAACUGCAGAGUCAUCCUCUUGAGUAAAAUGAGGGAAAGAAAAUCUUGGAUUUUAUUUUCAUGCUGAUCAAGUGUCCCGGGGACUCCACGUCACAACAGUAAUAACAUAUGACUUUUUUUCUUUUUUUCUUUUUUUAAAUUUUAUUUUAUUGCCUAUCGUUUAAAAAAACAUGAUCCAGAACUCUCAUAAUCCUCCACUGUUUGCUGAGAAAAAUAAGGAAAUGAUUAAAAACACACAGAAGCAAAGUUUGAACCUAGCAUGUAACUAUUUUCUUCCCCUAUUAGCCAAAAGAUCCAGUAAAAAAAAAAUUAAAGAUUUUUCCCAUUACCCAAAUCCCAAACUAUGUCAAAAAUCCUUUAUUAAAAAGUGUAAUUUUCCAACACUUUCUGGGCAAGAAAACAGAAAAUAACAUUUCUGGAAAAUCCAGACUUCUGGAGAAAACAGAAAUCUACCUGUUCCAUCGUCACUGAUGACAAGCAGCUUGAAAGCUCAGGUAAUCAACAACUCAUUGAUUGGGAAGCUCCAAAACCAAAAUGAACAAUCAAAAAUAGAAGCUGAUCAGAUCUUAAAAAAAUCAGAGACAAAAAAAAAAAAAAAAAAAAUCAUAACCCUAGAUUGAAAAUGAAAGAUGAGAGGGAAAGGGAGGCCACCAUUUGAAGGACAAGAGAGAGAGUGAGAAUUUGAACCCAACCCCAUCAAACCACCUUCUCUUGGGUAGGUUUCCAAAACCAAGGGUUGUGGAGCUUCUCGAGGGUGACCUUAUGAAGACGAUACAAGUAAGAGCUAGAUGUAGCUGUUGGUGAAGUUCCUGGCAACAGCUCUUGGUUUGCUUGCCAGCAGCAGCCCUUUGCAAUUGGAGUGGCGAGUGCAGUUUCAGGUGGAAGAUCUGCGACAGCUGAGUAUGGACAUAGGGUAGGAAACGUUGGGUAUUUUUUUACUUGGGAAAAUAAGGGUAAUUUAUAUACCAAACAGAAGAUGGCGCUUUUAAAGAGCACCAAUGUUAAGCUCAUCUUGAAAUGACGUUCCAGAAGCGCCAUUAUCUCAAAAUGUUAUUGGUUCUUCCUAUAAAGCACCAAUAUACAAGCAUCAGCAAUAAUCAUUUUUUAGUAAUCAAUUAUCAUGCUUUUUACAAGCACUAGGAAAUCAAGUGUCAUUAAUUUAAUUUUUUGUAGUAGCCUGCAUAAUACUUUUCUUGUGCAACACAAAAUUCAUAUAUUCGAGAUUCAUAUCUAGAUCCAAAACUACCACAUAUCAAAAUUCAAACUCAUCUCAAAGUGACAAUCUGAAGAUUAUACUGGAUGAUUUCAAGCAUGGUGACCAAAUAUUCAUUUUAAACGACUGGUGUUGUACAAGUAGAAAGUCUGAUGAAUCAAGUAGCUAUUUCCUAUUUCACUUUCAGGUUGCCCAAGACAUAUGAGAAAUGUGAUUUGCUUCACUUGAGGUCUCCUAGGUACUUUCAGUGAGGGAUAUUCUACGGAGUUGGCAUGUAAUUAAAUUCAUAAGAAGGAAUGAAGAAAGGCUCAUAUGAGAUUAUUGUGGUGCCUUGGAAAACAGUGUCAGUCAAUUUUUGAAAAGAAUAAAAACAUAUGACAGCAAGCUUGCUGAAUCUAAUUUGUGAUCUGGGCAUGUGGAUUGAAACGCAUUUGAAGAGUAGGAGACAGUUUUAAGCUUCAUUGAUAGUUUGGGUAGGUUAUGGCGUUAAGGGGUUCUUUGCCCUGUGUUGAGGAUGCUUCCCUUUUUUUGCCUUUGAUUUUGUGUGCGCUUUGGUUUGGGUAAUCCUUGUCUGCGCUCAAUAUACUCGUGCAACCUUAUGGCAUUCUUUAGCAAAUUUACUAAUAAGAGCUGCUACCCUUGAUAAGGGUAGGAUUUCCAUAUAACCGGGGAAUCCUUGUUUCUCUACCUCUCAUGCAAUACUUGAUUGUUCAAGCCAGUUUAUUAGAUCUUAUGUUAAUGACAAAUGAAAAACCAAUUGAUCAUAACAACAGGUUAUCUUUACCUUCCCAAAUGUAUCAUGCAAUCCAUCCUCAACAACAAAGUAAAAAGUUUUGAGUCCAAACGGGAUUCAAGCUAUCAUUCACAACCUGAAAGCAUAAAAAAAAAAAAAACCAAAAAUUAAGUAAACCCAUAAUCUGCAUAGUGAGAUAAAGUUACUUCCAAUAUAAGAAUUUCAGGACACAACAUUUAUGCAAGAGCUCAGGUGACCUUCCCAUUCAACACCUAUGGGUGUCAUCUCCUUUUAAGUGUUUGUGCAUUAUGAUGCCCCACAGGUCCAAGGAAAAAAAAAAGAAGCAAAGCUUCUUCAAAAUAGAAAGUAGAAGCACCUUUAGAAUACUCCCAACAUAAAAGAAAAACCAAAAGAAUCUCAGCUAGGACAGUCAAACCCUUACCCUAGUUUUGCUCCUAGUAACUAAUUUUUUCAAGAUAAGUAAAGCAUAGAGAUCUCUUUUCCCAUUAGACAUACCACAGGUAACACUUCUGCAGAUAUCACCUUAAGAAUCUCCACUUGUAAGAAUCUCCAAGGAUGUCAUUGAAAAUUAAGGGGCAAAAGGGUUGGCAAACCCAUUCUCCAUGCUAAAAGGAACAUAGAAAAGCUCUGGUGCACAAAAAUGAAAACCAAAUGAAUAAAAAAGCUGAGACAAUUUUUUUUUUGAUAAGUAAGCAAAGAUAUUGUAUUAAAAAGAGACGCUAAAAUAGCAGCUCAAGAUAUAUAAGAACAAGAUACAGUCACCCCCUUACAAUUGUAACCAAAAAGAAAACUGUCCAAACAAGAUGUACAAAAAAAAAAAAAACAGCACCCCCCCACCCCCAACAAGAACUCAUCCAAUCAAUGAAAUCUAUUAACGUCGAAAGACCAUCUUCUAUAGACAGUUUGGUCUCCGACCAAAGUGAAAAAACAAAAGAAGUUUUCAGUUUUUGCACCCCAUCUUUAAAGGCAAUUCUGUUUCUAGUCUUUCAAACAGACCAAAACAAGCACAGAGGGCCUGCUUUUCACACUGUUCUGCGCUUUUUGCCCACCCAAGCUUCAUCCUAACCCAAAAAGGGUCUCCCUUACUAAAGAAGGGAACACCCAACACACACCGAAUAGGGUAAAAAACAGUUUCCACACCUCCCUCGUUGUUUUGCAAUGGAGGAGAAGAUGGUCAAUAGACUCCUCAUAAACUUGGCACAAAAAGCAUCUAUUUACUAAAGCCCAUCCUCUCUUUUGAAUUUGGUCUAAAAUUAGAAUUUUUCCAAUGAGGCUUCUCAAGCAAAGAAACUAAUUUUUUCCUACACCCAAGAGUUCCAGAUUAUCUUCAUUGGGAAGCACACUGAUGAAUUAGGCUCUAAGACUUUGUAAAGGGGCUUUAUUGAAAAGUUGUCAUCUUUGGACUCCAACCACCUCACCCCAUCCUCCUCAUCCAACAUCACUUUUUCCCCACACAAUUGCCCCAGCAGGUUCUCCACCUCAUCCAGCUCCCAAUCAUUGAAAAGCUUAGUAAAACCAGGGUUCCAACUCUCCACCCCCCACCCUUUUCCCCACUUGCUAAAACAGUCCAUAAAUCACUUACCUAAGCCUGGCUGCAGCUAACGCAGAUAAGAAGGGGAAAGAAUCCCACAACAGUGAGGUUCCACACCACUUGUCCUUCUAAAAGCUCACCCUUGGGCCAUUACCCACCACAAAAGAUAUUCUAGAGCUAACAAGGUAGCUAAGUUUCCUAAUUUAUUUCCACAACCCUACUUCAUGCCCCUCCCUAACCUCAUGGGGGCACCACCCACCUUGAUCCUCCACAUAUUUCCCCCUUAUAACCUGGUUCCAAAAAGUCUCCAUUUCAUUUGCAAAACGUCACGUCCAUUUACCAAGGAAAGUCUUGUUGAGCGUAGCAACACUCUUAACCCUCAACCCCCCUUUACUUUUAUGUGAACAAACUGUUGACCACCUCACUAAAUGAGGUUUUCGCUCAAGAGCUGCACCUCCCCAAAUAAAAUCCCUCUAAAUCUUCUCCAAUCUCAUUUUAACCACUUUUGGCAAAUGGAGGUUGGACAUAAAAUAAAUAGGCAGGUUGGACAAGGCACUACAAAUCAAUGUAAUUCUCCCACUCUUAGAGAUAUAUUGUCGCUUCCACAUGGCCAACCUUUUGCGGAAUAUUUCCUCAAUACCAUCCCAAGCUGCCACGGAGUUAAAAGAAGCCCCCAAAGGCAUCCCAAAGUAAUUAGAAGGUAAACUACCCACCUUGCAGCCCAGCUCACAAACCAAAUCAUCCACGUUCUCCAUCCUUCCCACAAGGAUCAGCUCACUUUUAUCCAAAUUAACCUUCAAACAAGAGAUUGCCUCAAAUUAACCUUCAAAAAAAGUGAGUCAAUUGAAACAAAUAAGAAAUAAAUGUUUUGGAUAUCAUCACCAACUAUCUUGCCUAAAAGAGCUUCAUGUCACAUAAAGGAUCACAUCGAAAUUGUUGAUGCAAAGUUCUAAGGUUCAUAACAGAGCCAUCUAGAUCAUGACACUUAAGUCAUUGGUAGAUGAACUGCAAUAAUUUCAACUUGUACCAAUUAGCACAAAAAAAAAAACAUAGGAACCCUCAUUUCAACAAAAAACAAAUAUUUAGAAAAUAGACACAUAGUAGACCCACAGGAUGCAUGAAGUAAAAUCUAAAAACAGGAGAAUUGAUGGAUGAGAAAGUUGGUUGACAUUAUAAACCAUAAAUAAAGCCUCAAAUGCAUAUUGUCUAUGAUUAUAAUAGCAAAAAAAAAUACAAAAGGUAGAUAAUUAUGUUCAAUGAAAGCGACAAUCUACCAUAGUUAUAGGAAAUACUUCAACCCAAUGUCCACAUUAGUCUCAAUCACCAUGAAAAUUUUUCCAAUACUCAUCAUCAAGUUGUAUCAAUAAUCUUCCUCGAGAGAGAUAAAAAGAAAGCGAUUUGCAUUGAGAGAGAUAAAAAGAAACAAUAUGAUUGAAGGGUGUGUGUAGGCCUAAGUAUGCACACUCAUCCUCUCUCCUUAACCAAUAUGAUUGUAAAACUAGUCAUAUACUUUUUUUCCUUUCUUUUUUCUUUUUUGAAAAGUACCUCAUCUACUAUGAAACAUUAUUAUUAAUAUAAAUACUCCCCAAAUGAUAUGAGGCAAAAGUACAUCCAUAUCCAAUUUGGGAAACAAAUGAUAGCUCUAACAAUUCAAAUUCCAAACCAAUAUUAUUGGUUCCAACCUCAUCUCAAAUCCAUGAAAGUAGGGGCAUGGCUCUUACCUUUUUUUCAAUAAUUGAGAAAUUUAAAACCAUUUAUCACUAAUACUACUGUGAUGUUGGUAAAAUAACUAAAAAAAUAUAAAAAUAUAAACUCCCAAAGUCGCCUCAAUUUUUUCUUAACCUGAAUUUGCAUGUUCGUAUCAUAUAAUUCUUCAACCUAUCUAUAAGGAUUAGACAAAAACUGACAAAAGGUUAGAAACCCUAUAAAAUCAGGGUAAAAAACUAACUAGGAAAUUGCUUCAGAUGAGUAGGAAUAAUUAAUAAAUAGUAUGAAACUUGAGAUAGCUGAAGACCAAAAAUAUUGCACCAACAUGGAGUCUUAUGUCUUAGGUGGAAUCUUCCAUUUCAUUUGUAGGAACCAUAAUAAAUUUAAAAGAAAGUUAACUACAAACAAAAAUAGGAAUCAGAAUCCCUAGAAAUAAAAAUUGAGACCCCAAGAGAAGUACCCUUGAGAAUCCUAGCAAAUAGCUUCCCAACCAAUAGAAUCAAACUAACAGAACAUUGCUCUUGUUAAACGUACCUAGUCCAAAGCGUCGAUCCCACAAAAAUCUCUCUAUUGUCCAGAGUGUCCUCUUCCUUCCACCGACUCAACUUCUUGCCAGAAACCUUUAGUUUCAGUUAUCUUAUUCCGGGUUAUAUCCAAAACUAUAAUUUAAUAUAACACAAUAAAGAAAAUUAAAGUGCAAUAACCUAAAUCUAAAGGCUUUGGAACUUUAUGAAAUUGUUUCGACUGUCUCUUACCUCUGCAAAUUGCAAUUCAGGAAAGCCCAGUGUCGGAUUUUACAUGAAUCUCCCAUUGAAGCCCAAAACGUACCCAAUUUCGACAUCUUCGAUUAAACCCUAUAAAUGAUUAAUUAAAAACCCUGUAGACCCCCAUUUUGGGGGCUCAUUUUUCUCACUUUUCUGCAGACUUUUCUUACCAGGUGGAGGGCUCUCAAGGAGCCACGUGUUGAUUCAUGGUUGGCUGGUGAGGAAUCAGGCUAGUGGUUUGGAGAACCAAAGAGGGUUGGACACGUAUGAGAGUAUAUUCUGGGGUGGUUUGAAAGAAAUGAAAAAAAAAAAAAAAAGUUGCAGGCGGUUGCAAAGGAAGGAGGAGCGUAUUUUGUUUGUUAAGAGAGAGAUGCGAUAUUUUUUCUGGGCUGGUUACAGGGAGGUGAGGAGGAUUUGGUUGCUGUUAUAUAGAGAUAUUGAGAUACUUGGGGGAAGAAAAGCCUGAGCUGAGAGGAGAAAGACAGAACUGUGAGAGGAAAGAACAAAGUAGAGAAUUACAAGAGGAGCAAAAGCACAGCUGGAAGCUAACCCACUCUUGGCUUGAAAGAAGCAUUCCAGGUAUGAUCAUUCGUGAGUUCCUUAUUUCUCAUUUCCACCUUGAUUAACUCUCACUUUCAGUAUUUCUUAUGAGUAUUUGGUUUAUUGAUUGGUGUGGAUAUUAUAGGCCACUCGUUAGUUUUGUGGGGCUCUGGGUAUGCAUGCUCUGUUUUUAGAUUUAUUUUUGCUGUUUUUGACUUCUCUUGAAAAUAUCUGAUGUUGUAUUCCUUCCCAUAACUUGAUCAAAACUAUGCUUUCAUUUCCUCCGGAUUCCACUACUCAAAGCUCUUUGACGAUCCAUGGCAUAGAGCUAAGCUUAUACUCUGUUUUUAUUAUGUUUUCUUUCUUCCCUGGUUAUUGCACUGUUUCUUGUUGAGGGUGGAGUGUUGUCUGCAAUAACCAAGCUGUUGGGAUUCAAUGAGUGUGGUCAUGAGGGGAAAUGAACUCAAUAGGGGAUUUCUGUGAUUGUAUCUGUGCUUCAAUCUAUUGGUUCAAAAUGGUGGCCACGGAAUUGCAUUGGAGUUUUGUGUUCGUGUUUGGUUUGCCAUCUGGGUCUGAUAAGAUAUAUGCUGGUAGUGAAGAUGAGAAUGAGGAUUUGAGACAUCUCAUUUUUUUCCUAGAAUUCUUAGUGACUGCAGCCAGUUCAGUUAGGCAUGGGGAAGGAAAAGCAAGUUCUGUAGGUUUCGAUACACGGACAGUCAGAAAGGUCAUGGCAUGUACUCCAUUCGGUGAAGGCUUUGGUGUCGAUACCUCGCGCUCCUGGUGUUUCACGUAGUUGUUGAAUAGAUGGACACGCGAUCUCAACCCACAAAGGUUCUUGAUUCAAUCGUUAUACCUACAAAAGGCAUCCAGACAGGGUGUUCGGACGUACCCUCCGAUGGUUUUGUUAGCCAUGGUUAGAGAGAGAGAUAUAAAUCAGUUGGCCUUUUUCUAGGUAUCAGGAGGUUACCUUCCUCUUCGUGUGAAGGUUUAUAUAUAGUGUUAGGAGUAUUGUUCCUCUCAUUAAUGGUGAGGAGAUAUUUUAUGUUUGUCAUAAUGACAUUCGGAGGCAGCAUGGUCAUCACCACCCUACUGGCGGCUGUCAAAAACCGUGGUAGGUGAUGCUACUGUCAGAGAUCGUGGGAAGUGAUCAUGUAGAAUGAUCGUGAGAAGUGACUUGUUGUCACCUCAACUCGUCCUUUCACUCUGUAGGUGAUAGGACGUGGGCCAUGGCUGGUUUGUUGCGAUAGCGUGUAAGACUCGCUUUACUUUAGUCAAUGAUCCGGACAAUUAUAUCCGGAUAGCCAUGCUGGUUAUCCGGAUGUAUUGUGGAGCGGACGUAUUUAUGGAAGCCGUCCGGAUGUCUAUGCUUUGUAAGCGUCGUUUGCUCUUCCUUGAGGCAGUCCGGAUAUAAAAAGUGCGCCAUGUGUGCUUUAUAGGAAGGUCCGGAUGAGGGUGACCCGGAUGACAAUGCGUGUCAUGCGUCACUGUAAGAAACGUGUCACUGCAAGAUGCGUGUCACGUGUCCUCAGAGGGUGGGGUCCCUACAUUGGGGUCAUCCAUUUAGAUGAAGGACGGGGGCUUUUUUCAUUUUUUUCACUCUUCAGUUUUUAGAAAUGCAAAGAAUGAUGAGAGCUUGAUUAUGCAAGGUUUCUAUUCCGGUUUUAUUACCUGCAGAAUUGGGUGUUUAUAUUAUGACAGUAUCACAGCAUUUGUCAUCAAUUGGAAUCCAAGAGUUCUCAAUGCAGGCCGAUAAGUUGUUGCCUUUGGGGGAUCUCACUGGGAUGACGAUGCGGAUACUCAUGCGCUGUAAAUGCAAGAAGUCUAAGAGGGGCAAAGGCUGCCAUCCAUGCUCUUGAUAAUGAGAAUUUCCGGACUUUUCUCAAUAGUACGGUAAUUUAAAAAAGUUAUGCUUAAAUUAUUGUAGUAGAAGAAGUUUGUGGACCCCGCAUUUCGCGCUCGCUCAAUGCGUUUCCCACUCGAAUGGGCGAAACUCGAUUUUUUAUUUUAUUUGAAAAAUGAUUUUUAUUGAUUAAGAAAAUGACUUGGAGUCGCCACUUAUUUUUUGUUUUAUUUUUAAAGGGUAAACAAAAUAAGAAAGAAAAACCCUAAGUGUGACUCCUUAUUUUGGAAAAGGCGGUCUGUGAAAAACCGAAUCGGGUUCGGGGGUCAGGUUACUUAUCGGGAAGGUACGGUAAAGACCGUGCACCCCUCUAAGUCCCUAAAGUCGGGUCUCUACUAAUGAGAUGAAGCUGACGUGGCAGUCAACAAGAAAAUCGAUGAAUACUCAAAUCGAUCAUGCACAAUAUGAGAAGCAAAGCAUGUAUAAAGAAUGAGCAAAAUGUGAAUAGAUGCGUACCUGGGCGGCAAUCACGAAUGCGCAAUCAUGAAACAGGGUUAGUGAGCAAUGAACAAGAUAUAAUUAAGCGCAUAUCAAGGAACAGAAUAAACCAAUCAUACAUGGCAAAUAAAUUAGUCAAACAAUCAAUUAGUCGUGAAGUAACGUAUGUAGGGCCCCCACCAAAGCCCGUUUAUUUUUGCAUGAAUUAAUUCCAUAAAUUCCAUUAUUCGGAAUUACGGAAUUUAAUUCUUGCUUAUUUUAAAUCAUUUUAAAAUCAUGAAAAAAUUCGAAAGCUGCUCGCCGAAAAGAAAAUGGCGGCCAAAUUUUAUUGAAAUUGAGACUCUUAGGUGAUCCUGAAAAUUCUAAGGAUGAAAGAUGAGAAAAUUGGAAUUACUUGAAAAUCAGAAUUUUGAGAAAGAUAUUUACAAAAUGGGGUUUGAGAAAACCUUUUCAAAAUCAAAUAAAAAGAAAACCAAGAAUGUCACGUGGCCCAAAGGUGGCCCAUACUAAAGAUGGCCAAUGCAUGGCCUGGUAGGGAUAGGGCCCAGUUGACUUGUGCAUGCUAGGGCUGCUGAUAGACACUGCCUGCAGGUCCCAUACCAACAAGUCCAAGUUCCGAGUGGAGCCAUUGGGAAUUCCAGGUGCUUUUCUGACUGGUCACGUGACUCAGUGAGUCUGGAUGGUGCAUCAAAUAGACUGAACUGCAGAAUUGACUCGGUCCUAUUCCUCACUGCUUUUCCUAAGCAGUUUAUCUUCAACUUGCUUCAUCAAAUCAUUUAUUUCAUGUCGUUUUGCUUGCUGAUCUCGAAGCAACCUUUUAGUCUCGGCACGAGCAUGUCCGUGAGCAUGGAGGGUAACAUAGAAAAUGCCUCAUUACCCAUCUCAAUCACCCCAUGGACAACAUCCUGCUCAUAUGGAUCAGCAGGGAAGACACGUAGUUCCUCGAGCAAAGGACAGCUAGAUCCAACAGCUUCCAGCCCUUUGUCUUCUACUGUAUCCAGAACCCAAAGACGCUGUAGAUUUGGACAGUGGGCAAGAAGCUUAGCAAGUUCACCACUUUGCAGAGCAACAUCACUCAAAUUCAAGAACGUCAAAUUCAUGCAGGCAGGGUAUAGAACUGAGAGAUACAGUGGAGUAGCUUCCCACAAACCAGAGAGAGUAUUUAGAUUCUUGCAGUUGUUGAAUGCACUUUCAAGCUCUGCAUACUGGCGGGUUGUGAGCUCUUGAUGGAAGGACCCAGUACCAAGCUCUGUCAGUUGAGGAGCACACUCAAGCAACCUCUGUAAUUGUUCCAGGGUGAUAUUCUUGUUAACCUUCAAGAAUUUUAAAGAUCUACACCUACUCACUAGUUUCUCAAGAGCAUCAAAAGAGACAUCACUGCUCAGAUUCGCAAAAUUUAGCACUUCCUGUGACGUGAAGUUUUCGGGAAAGCAACUUAACCAACCCCCACCAAGGUCAUCAAUGCCAUUCUCCUGUAUGUCAAGCUCCGUCAUAUUCUUGCAAUGAGUAGCAAUGGCGGCACUGACGAUUGACGGUGAUUCGGAAGCAGUCUCGGAACCGAAACUAUAGAGACCGAGUUUUGCUCUUCCAGGGAUCUUCCAUUCCUGAAACUCCACUGAGCAUCUCGCGGCCCACCACAACAAACCUCAGGUGAUGAGUGAACAUGGUAGAAAUCCGUAAACCCCGAACUAUACUUCCACCAUCAUCAGGAUUACGAGGUCACAAUACACAGCGUACAUCAGCGUCGUGAAGCAAUAUUCAAUUUUUUUUGUCAUAGGCACCCAUCAAAGAAUCUUCUGUAAGGAUUGGAGUGUUGACCAACAGUGCCCUCAGGUUCAAUCGGGUAAGGCCUCAAUGGAUUGCAUUGCACCAACUGUCGCGUACCUCUGGAUGAACGCGUGAGCUGUUAAUCUUGUAAGAGAACCCCAAGCAACAUGCAUAACGUACCCCUUCGGAAUAUCACAACGAGACCCACUGGUGCCCUCAUCUGAAUGCACCUCCGCCUCUCAUUCAAGUAAUGGGUAUUGGACCCAUGUAUGCAUGCAAAGAUGGAGGAGUGAAGUGGUGAGAGAAAGGAUGUAUGGAUUUAGCUGCGAAUAAGGUCACGGGUAUGGGAAGAUGGGUGGUAUGGUGGAGAGAGGAAAUGAUAUGGUCAUGGAGAGUAGAAGCAUGAGUGCGAGUGGUGAUGAAUUUAUGUAUAGAGAUGGGUGUGAAGGAGAUUAUUGAUGAUGAAGUUAACGAGUGAGAAGGUCAUGGCCAAAAGUGGGAAGGAAAAGAAGCAUAGAAGACGUGGAUUAAAUGGAAAGGUGCAGUGGCAUGAGCACAAGAGUGGUUUAGAAGCAAAUUGGGAGGGGUGUGGGCCAUUCUCAUCACAGUGAAGCCCAUAGGAUACUCUCAUAUCUUGGUUACAACAAUUCAUGUCGCAAGGAAAGCCCAUGUAUUCUAAUUGCUUCAUCAAUGCUUCGGCAUGACCUGUUCGACUGAGCAUAAAGACAACAUGAUAGUAUGCAGCAAACACGGUGCAGAGGAGAAAUAUUGAGGAAAAUAGCGUGAAUCAGGACUCCUCCUUCCAAUAUUGGCUGAAAUCUGCUGACGGAGCCUCUAUAACUUGACUUGUUCCAAAGUCCGAUUUUGAAUAUGAUGGGAUGAUCUGAUGGCCCAAGGAUAACAAUGGGAAAACCGUCUUCAAACAAGCAGGAACUGUGACUUUCCUUCAUCAAUUCUCACACCUUAAAGAACCCAGAGACAUGAUAUAAAUAGGAACAAAUUUGACCAUCCGAUGUCAUAAUCAACAACACCCUGGAACGACACAAAAAUCCUUUCCAGAAGAAGAGAAAGUUCAUCUCUCGCUAUAAGCCAGGAACAGGGGAAGAUAAAAGGGAGGGAUAGACUGAGAUAAAAAAAAAAACUAAAAAAACCAAUUUAAUAAUAAUAAAAAAAACAUGAUUCAGUCUUCAUCUCACGACAACCAAUGAGUUGGAAGAAACAGGUGGGGUGAAUGAAAGAAGUUGCAAAUGCAAACAAGAAACAUAACUGCAAAUGUCAAAAGGUCAAGACCAAGCAAACCUCAAUGGAAACCAAACAAAAGAGAAUGAACACAUUAAGACCCUUUCAAAACAAACCAGAAAAUCAACAAGAAGAACAACGUAGAACAACCCAAAAAAAAACAACAUGGAACAAGGUGAAUGUGAAACUUACCCCAAUCUCACCUGCAACCCCUCUUCGUCCUCUGUUAUCUCCUCCUUCUCCCGAAAAACCACCUUCUGGAGACCCCCUCUAGCUUGAUGCCCAAGUUAGAAACCUCUCUCUCUCUAAUGGAAACUCUCUCCUUCUCUCAUGGAAACUCUCUCCCUCUCUCACUUUUCUCUCCUCUGAUCUUGCUCCCCUCCCUUCAAAAUCCUCCUAGCUCUCUGUUCUCUCUGGAAAACUCUCGCUCUCUGGUUCUUUUUCUCCUCUUUCUCAAAGCACUCUGGAAUCCUCUCUAUCUUGACCUCCAAGCCCAAAGGCAUGCCCUGCAACCUCCAGCUCUGAUUUUUCCUUCCCUUUUUCUCUCUCAGCUCCCUCCCUCAUCGAAAAACUCCCUCUGGAACUCAAAAAAAUCCCCCCAAAAAUAUCUCUCCCCCUCUCUCUAUAUCCAGCCUGCCCCCAACGGCCUCACAUAGUUGCCUUUCUCCACUACCCUGCAGCUGCCAUCCUCAAUGGUUUUCAACUUUUUCUGCUGAAAGAAAUCUCCACGUGUCAAGCUUCCAUUGGCCAUCAAAACCACUAACUUGAUACCCUAUCAACCAGUCUUGGAGUGACACGUGGUCAUCCCAGACGAUGACACUUGUCAUAAUCGGGCUGUAGAGAUGUCUCCCCAAAAUGGGGGUCUACAAAGUUAUUAUAAAUAUAUGGUAGUUUUUGCCACAUAGGAGAGAGGAGAGAGGAGAUAGGAGAUAGGAGAGAGGAGAACGGAAAUUUUUUUUAAAAAAAAGGAACUCGUCUCUUCAAGAGACGAGUUCCAUGAAAAUAUAUAUAUAUAUAUAUAUAUAUAUAAAUUCCCAAAUUAAAAAAAAAAAAUUCCUCAAUUCCUCAAGGAAACUCGUCUCUUUAAGAAACAAGUUCCCAUUAAAAAAAUAUAUAUAUAUUUUUAAAAAAUUCACAAAUUAAAAAAAUAAAUAAAUAAAUAAAAAAUUGGAACUAAAGGGAACUCGUCUCUUGAAGAGAUGAGUUCCCAUGGAAAAAAAAUAUAUCUUUUUUUUUAAAAUAUAUAUAUAUAUAUAUAUAUAUAUAUAUUUUAAAAAUUCCCAAAUUAAAAGAAAAAAAAAAAAAAAGAAUUUCCUCAAGGAACUCGUCUCUUCAAGAGACGGGUUCCCAUGAAAAAAAAAGUUAUUUUUAAAAAAAAAAAAAUAUAUAUAUAUAUAUAUAUUUUUAAAAAUUCCCAAAUUAAAAAAAAAAAUUUCUUCAAGGGAACUCGUCUCUUAACUCGUCUCUUCAUAUAUAUAUUUCAUGGAAAUUCCCAGGAUUUUUUUUUUUUUUAAUUUGGGAAUUUUUUUUUCCAUGGAGAAUUGUUUUUUUUUUUUUUCAUUUGGGAAUUUAAAAAAAAAAUAUUUUUUUUCAUGGAACUCAUCUCUUGAAGAGACGAGUUCCCUUGUGGAAUUUUUUUUAAUUUAUGAUUUUUUUUUUAAAUAUUUUCUUUUUCUUUUUAUUUGGGAAUUUUUUUAAAAAAUAUAUAUAUUUUUUUAAGAAACGAGUUCCCUUGAGGAAAUUCUUUUUUUUUUUUUUUGGGAAUUUUUUAAAAUAUAUAUAUAUUUUUUAAAAUAUAUAUAUAUUUUUUAAAUAUAUAUAUAUAUAUUUUUUUUCCAUGGGAACUCGUCUCUUCAAGAGACGAGUUCCCUUGAGUAAAUGGGGAAUUUUUUAAAAAAUAUAUAUAUUUUUUUUCAUGGAACUCGUCUCUUGAAGAGACGAGUUCCCUUUUUAAAAAAAAUUUAUCCGUUCACCCUCUCUCCUCUCUCCUUUCUCCUCUCUCCUAUGUGGCAAAAACUACCAUAUAUUUGUAAUAACUUCUUCUACUACAAUAACUUAAGUAUAACUUUUUUAAAUUACCGUACUAUAGAGAAAAGUCCUGCUCAUAUCCUCCUAUACCAUUCAUCCCUAUCAUGCACAUACCUCACCUAUCAUCCCCACCAUCCAUCGGACCCACCUUCAUCUCAUCUCUAUUAUUUUUCACGUGCAUGAAGUCUCGUGUACAUAGCCAUCUCCAUCUCAUUUUUUUAAUUUUUUUUUUGUCUUCAUACCCAUUUUACCAUUCUUCAUGCUCAUUGUACCCACUGCUAGCUGCUUCUUCCACCCUCAUAUCCACCACUUUCAACUUCAUCCGGCUAUCCAUCUCACAACUUCCCACAUCCUCCUACACCAUUCAUAUCCAUCUUUCAUGCCUAUAAGCCUACUUCUCUCACUACCCCCACUCAUCUUACCACCACACCAUUUUUUCUCACCGUUCCCUUCACUUAAACUCUUUUUCAUUCUCUCUCAUACGCAUGCAGCUAGCACGCAAGCUUAUUCUCCAUCUCGGCAUCUUCAACACUUGGUGGCUCCACAUUGAGGGAUGGAUUACGGUAGAGAUUUCUGGGUUUUUGUGUUGCAAAGUAAGAUCUUGGCAUGGCAGCAAAGAGAAUUAGACGAAUAUAGCAGGUUGAUGGUAUUGAAACGGCUUCAAAGGUUGCUUCUCAAGCCAAGAAAUUGCCACCUUCUAGCCAAAAGAAUGUUCCAGAGGCGGCUCCUAAGAAAGCUGAGUCAAGUGAUAGCUCUGAUGGCAGUGAUUCUGAUGAAGAAAAACCAACUGUUGCAAAGAAUGUAGCUGCUGCAGCACCUAAAAAGAAAGUACAGUCUAGUGAUAGUUCUUCUGAGACCUCUUCAGAGGAAGAAGAGGAACCACAGAAAAAACCAUCACCUAAAGAAGAUAUCGAUGAAGAGGACAGUGCUGAUGAAAGUGAUGAAGAGCCUCAAAAGAGAAAGUUGGAAGUUCCGACUUCAGUUUCUUCCAGUGCUGGUAAAUCAAGCAGUAGCGAAGAGGAAAGCUCUGAUUCAGAAGAUGAGCCCUCAAAGGUACCAUUGCCAAAGAAGGCUACUCAAGUGUCAAAGAAAAGCAUCGGUCCUGAGGAGGAUUCAUCCGAGGAAGAAAGCAAUGAGGAAGUGCCUUCCAAGACCCCAAAGAAGAAUGACACUGAUGUGGAAAUGGUAGAUGCCGGAGCACCCAAAAAAAAAAACCAAUGCUAAGCAGACUGAUUCAAAAAUCUGGGAAGAAAGCUCCCAAAACCCCUGCCACUCCUCAAGUGCAGAGCACUGGAAGCAAGACACUGUUUGUUAGCAAUCUAUCUUUUAGUAUUCAAAAAGAGGAUGUUGAGCAUUUCUUUAAAGAUGCCGGUGAAGUUGUUGAUGUCCGUUUCUCUUCAGAUGCAGACGGGAGGUUCAAGGGCUUUGGUCAUGUUGAGUUUGCUACUCCCGAAGCAGCACAGAAGGCUCUCAAAGUGAAUGGUAAAGACUUAUUGGGUCGUGCUGUCAGACUUGAUUUGGCCCGUAAAAGGGGCGCAUAUACUCCAUAUAACGGAAAAGAAAGCAAUUCAUUCCAAAAGGGAGGGAGUCAGGCACAGACAAUAUUUGUUCGGGGCUAAAAUAAAAGUUGCGAUGAGACCAGGUUAGGAGCACCCUGGAAGAGUAUUUUGGGUCUUGUGGGGAGGUUUCAAGGAUUUCGAUCCCUAAAGAUUAUGAAUCCGAUUCUGUUAAGGAGAUUGCUGACAUGGAUUUCACAGAUGGUAGAUAAUACUCAGUUGGAUCUUCAAAAAUGUGCUCGUGACCCUGAUAUAUUUGACACAUAUACUGUUCACCAUAUAAUAGAGACUAAUCCAAUGCAGACCAGCCAACAAGCCUUGUGCAUUCACCAACUACCAAGUUAUGCCAUUUCGGGACAAAAUGCCUAGGGAUUUGUGAUGAUAAUGAUCUCCUAUAUGAAGACUUCAAUGUGACUCCUGUGGCAGUAGCUCAGUUUCUUCUACAGCUGAGUAUUCUCGUAUUAAUCCCCAGAAGGCACCUUCCUGGUUUGAUCAGCAUAGCACCUUUAAAAAUGGACAGAUUUUAUUGAUGGUAAGUCUCUGAUAGUUUGCAUGCACAGAAUUCAAUGGACUUAAUAAAUGGUGCUUCUGGUACCAGCCAUGUCGCUAACGUCCAGCAUGGUUCUUCCCUCCAUUUUAAUGGCAAGCAAUCAUCUCUUUGCCCCUCUUUCAUUGUCUCCGAAUGGCACUGAUCAAAGUUUGAGGGUGUCAGGUUUGACUUAGAAGAUGUGGGUCCGUUGUUGCGAUUAAAAGCAUUGCCAAGACAAGCUGCAGGUCUGAUGAUGUUGAGUUCUUGAGGGGACUAAAGACACUUUCCUCAAUCGAAUGCAUCUGGUAGGAUAAUUCAUCCAAAUCAGUGUCAAAAGCUAAGCUCGGGUAGAAACUGUUUGCGGGACCUUGAUUCUAGUGACUAGCCUAGUUAGUGAAACAGUUGCUAAUAUGGUAAGUGGGGGGUCAGUUUGGUUUCGAUGAGGCAAUCAGAUGCUAUCAUGAUUGCUUAUCUGUGCUUUCCACUCGAUCUGGUGCAGCCUCACUCCCUGUGAUUACACUGAAUGAAGGUCAUGAUGUAAUCAUGGGUGGAAUCAUUAUGUAAUCAUAGAUGCAACCUCACAUUUUGUCCGCCAAACAUUUGCUUUGGUUAGGAAGGACCAUAAAUGUCGUUAUUGAGUGGAGGUUGACUACAUGCUGGCGGAGGGCGAAAUUGUCACUGGAAAUCACUGGGGACAGGUAUCACCAGAAGAAGAAGAGUAACCAAAGGACUUUGGUGCGGGGUAUGAUGUUCCAUCAUAACAGCAAUGAUUUUGACAAUGGUCUUUUUGAGGCUGAUUUAAUUGAGAAGGAUUUUGGGAACCAAAUUGCUGGAAUGGAUAGCUUCGGGUGCUGACUUCUGCUAGAAAGAAAUGCAGGUAUAAAGAAAGGGACAUUUGUACCAUCUGGACCCACAGUAGUCACUUGGGCCUUCUCCGCUGUUGGUAUUCCGUAUUGGACUACUGGUGCUAACGAUCCCUUGCAGCCACCCUCAUUUGCUCCUUUUCAAAACUCAUACGUGUCUUCAUCCAUCUUCAUGCAUGUUUUUUUUUAUAAAAAAGUUGGUUUUCAAACAAAUCUUGCUUUCACUCCACAUUUUUUAGGCUCCAAAAAUUUUUUUUUUUUCAAUAAAAUUUGCCGCCAUUUUAUUCCGAACGAGCCUCAUUUUCACAUCUUGCAUGAUUUUUUAAAAUAUUUUAAAAUAAGCAUAAAUUUAAUUUUGUAAUUCCAAGUGAUGGAAUUUAUGAAAUUAAUUUACACAAAAAUAAAUUAGGUUUUAGUAAGAGCCCAACAUCAGAGAUUUAAAAAUAAAUUUGAGUGAAAUGCAGUGUGAUAUCUGAUGAUCUUUAGAUCUAUUUAGUGACAUGUAUAGCAUAUUCUAUGAUCAUUAUUAUGCACUAAUCACAUUUCAUGCUAGCGCUUUAUCGAUUACUGCUAAGGUAUGCAUCAUCUCUCACUCUAAUCAUUCACCAUGUAUGCUUUGGCUUUCAGUGUGUGAUCAUGUUAAUAUCCAUUAAUUUUCUUACCAAUUGUCAUGAUUGUUUCAUUUUAUUAGUAGAAAUUUAUUUUUAGGGACUUAGAGAAGUGUUAUGGUUUUUACCAGUCCUUCCCGAUAAGUAACCCGACUCCCGAGCUCUGAUUUGGUUUUUCACAGACCACUUUUUUCAAAAUAAGAAGUCACACUUAGGGUUUUUUUUCUUAUUUUAUUUAUCCUUUAAAAAUAAAACAAAAAUAAGUGACAACUCUAAGUCAUUUUUUUAAAAAUAAAUUAUUUUUAAAUUAAAAGCGAGUUCGCCUUCGAGUAGAAGUGUACGAGCAUAAAUGCGAAGUCCACAAACCCACCCCAUAAAAGAUUAAUCAAAAGGUAAAAACCCUCGGUAUCAAAAUUUCAAUCAAUCAUGACACGAGACUUGUUGAGAGAACUGCAGCAAAAGAACCUGUGUCACAAAUACACCUUUAUCCCCAACCUUAAACCUUUUAACCCUAAACCCUAAACCUAAUCCUAAACCUAGCCCUAACUCUAAUGCAAAACAUUAACCUAAAAGAUUAUAAGAAAUGAAAAUGACUUUUCUUCCCAAAUAGUUGUUUUUAAAACGGUGAAUGAUUAAAAAUAAUACUUUUAAAACAUUAAAAAUAUCAAAAACAAAUUAAAAACCAUUUAGAUUCUAAAUUUUCUGUUAUAUAAAAUAUUAAAAAAAUUGUUUAUAAAAACUAUUUUCCUAAUAGUUAUUUUCAAACACAUUUUCUAAACGGAAUUUAUAUAUGUUACAUUUAUUUUUAGAAAAAUUUAAAGAUUUAAAAACAAGAAAUCAAUCCUUAAAAAAAUAAAUCUCAACUUUAUUUCAAAGUGAAUCCAAAUUAAUAUGAUAUAUAAUUGAGAUUUAAAUAAAUAUAAUUUCAUAAAUCUUAAACAAUGAUAUAAAAAACAAGUAAAAUAUUUUAUAAAUCUAUUUAAUAUACUUACUUAUCAUUGUAUUUUUCAUUCUUUCAAUUUAUUAACUUUAACUUUUUCAACUUUUAUAUUUGUUUAUAUAAAAUUUUUGGUUUUAUAUACUUUUCUAAUAGAUUAAAGGUUUUUAAAAUUUUUUUAUUUAUUAAAAGUUUUGUAAUUUUAUAUUUAAUAUUUUAAAAGUAGAUUCUCAUAUGAUUUUAAACAAUUUGGAUUUUAAUGCUUGAUUAAAUAAUGGUACAUUUACAAUAAUACUUAAUUAUUAAAUUAUGUAUAUUUUUUCAAUAAAAAGUUUCAUCACUUUGGCUUAAUUUUUAAAUUAUUUUUAGUAUAUUUUAUUUUAGUUUCACAUGGCAUGAUAAAACAAAUAAUUUUACAUCUUUUUCUUUCUAUCAUCAAUACAAAUUAGCUUGUUAUAAAAUUUAUAAAAAAUGUUAACUUCACUAAUUUCCUCCUAAAUUAAUCUUUUAAAAAAUGCUAAUAAAAAUAUUCUUGCAUUUUACAAGUGACAAGAACAAAGAAAAUAAAGAAAAUAUGAGAUAUGGUUUUUUCAAACAUUCAAGUUUAUGAUUUUGUUUACAAAUUUAAGUGUGUAAAACCUAUAAAAGCUAUAAUUUUAUAUUAGAUACAAGAUUUAAGUUCCUAAUUUAAGUGUGUAAAACCUAUAAAAGCUAUAAUUUUAUAUUAGAUAUAAGAUUUAAGUUCCUAACAAGAGAAUUUUUCCUUGGACACUCAGGUUUUAUUUAAAAAUUAAAGUGUGUAACGGGAAAUUUUCUCAUUCGUAUACAAUGAAAGGAAAGAAAGGAGGAGAAAAAAAUCAUUUGGAAUUAAUAUUUUUUUUUUUAAUUGGAAACCUAAGAUCAGGUACUACAAAUUUUGUUGUGUAUUUCUUUUUUUACCUAGAUUUUUUAAACUAUCUCUUAUAAACCAUUUUUUUUUCCUUUUAUGUUUUAAUAUAUUCAUAUUACAAGAAAAGGAAAUGACACGUACAGAAGAUUUGGAGAUAUUAUUUUUUUGAAAAAAAAUUAAAUUGAAAAUCUAAGAUCGUGUACAAAUUUGGUUUUGUUUAAUUUUUUUUUACAAAGAUUUUUUGCACUAUCAUUUAGCAAUUUUGAAAAAAAAACCAUUUUUUUUCUUUUUAUGUUUUAAUAUAUUGUUUUUCAUAUUUAGAAAAAGAAUGAGGCUAUGUUCCUAUUUGAGAACUAUUUUUUAUAAUAGUUUUUGGUUUUUGAGAAUAGUUUUUUAUUUUUCAAAAUAAAAAAUGCAUAAAACACGUUUGACAACCAAAAACUAUUUUAUAUUUUUUUGUUCUUACAAAUAUAAAAUAUGGUAUUUUUAGAGAAUAUAUUUUAAUUAUUUUUUUUAUUAUUUUUUGUUUUUUUUUAAUAAAUAAUUAUAUAAAUAUGUAGAAUAAUUUAAAAUAAAACAUUUGAUAUAAAAAUUAUGUUUAAAACAUAUUUAAAAAUAUUAAAAACAUGUGAAAAAUAUUUUAGGUUUUUAAAUAGACUUUUGUUCUACAAAAAUCAUAAAACAGUUUUUUUAUAUUGUUCUCAAAAAUUAUUUUUUAGAAUUUUUUUUAAAUAGUUAUAAAAAAAACCUAUUUUUUCAUUUUCCUUAAUUUCUUUUAUCUUUUCAAAUUUAGAAAAUAUAUAUUAUAAUUAAAAAAAUUCAUCCUGGCCAUUAAUUCGUUAACUUCCUCCUACAUUAAUCUUUUGAAAAAUGAUAAUAAAGAUAUUCUUACAUUUUACAAGUGGCAAGAGAAAAGAAAAGAAAAGAAAAGUUGAUACUUGGCUUUUCGAAACAUUCAAGUUUAUGAUUUUAUUUAAAAAUUGAAGUGUCUAAAACUUAUAGAAUCUCAAUGUAUAAUUUUAUAUUAAUAUAAGAUUUAAGUUCCUAACAUGGGAAUUUUUCCUUAGACAUUCAAGUUCUAUUUUAAAAUUAAAGUGUGUAAAGGGAAUUUUUCUCAUUUGUAUAUAAUAAAAGGAAAGAAAAGAGGGAGAAAAGAUUCAUUUGAAGAUGGUCUCUCUUUUUUCUUUUUUUUUAAUUGGAAACCUAAGAUCAUAUACUAAAAAUUUUGUUUUGGGUAGUUUUUUUUACGUAGAUUUUCUAAACUAUUCCUUAUCAAUUUUUGAAAGAAUCCAUAUUUUUUCCUUUUUAUGUUUUAAUAUAUUCAUCUUUCCCUUUUUCCAAAAACUCAUUAACUUUCUUCCAGAUUAAUCCUUUAGAAAAGUGCUAAUAAAAAGUCCUUGCAUCCUACAAGUGACAAGACAAGAGUGAAAGAAUGAAAAGAGAUAUGGUUUCUUAUGUCCAUGUUUGUUCCUCGAUAGUUUUCAUUGCAUUUGUGUCCUCAUGUAUUAGAUUAUCUUUUGCAAGGUCAAGCAUCAUGAAUGAUGCGUUGGUAGAAAAACUUUGUGCUAAAAGCACGGAUCCUUCAUUUUGUGCAAAUGCUCUAAAAUCUGAUCCUCGUAGUGCCAUCGCAGACAUCACAACUUUUGAGCAAAUUGCGAUCAACUUGACAAAGGCCAAUGCCACGGAUACCUGGAAUUUUGUGAACUUAAAUGCAGGACAAAAUAAUGAUCCUAAGAUCAAAGCCGCAUAUCAACGAUGUUCUCCUCUUUACGAAGAUAUAAUAGCCGCCACUGAUGAUGCAACAACAUCUUUGGAAGCUCUAGACUAUCGUGAUCUGGACACUGAAGGAGAAAGUAUCAUGGAUAGUGCAGACGAAUGUGAUCAACUUUUCACAAAACCUUCCCAAAUGUCAGAUAGAAACAGAUUUGCUAGACUUUUGGGUGAGAUGAUUGCCUUAAUCGGUGAUGUUUUGAUUUCUGGAUGAUUAUGUAUUUGUUCAAGUCCUUUGAACUUGUUUCACCUUAUCCAUUGAUAUGUUAGAAGUUAUUAUUAUAUUAGAAUUAUAUAUUUAUUUAAUUAAUUAAUUAUUAUAUCUAUUAUUUAUUUAAUUAUUAUAUUAAAAUUAAGUAGUAAGAUAAUUAUUUCUUUAUUUUUUAUUAGGUCUAUUUAAUUUUUAAUGAUAUUAUACCACUUUUCAAGGGAAUUCCUAAUGAGAAAUCUUAAAUUUUCUUUUCUCUUUCUUUUUGAAUAUUUUUUAGAUUUUAACAUGGUAUUAGAGCUUAAUUUAGAAGGAGGUUGUAAAUUCGAGUCACAUCUACCUUAAACAUAAGAAAAGUUUAUAGCCAUCAAUAAAAAGUUGAGUUAUUUCAACCGAAUUCGUUUGAUUCCCCUAAAUAUAAGAACCAAUGAAUUUAAAACUAUUACCCAAUUCUUAAAAUUUUUUGUCUAUUCUACCGAAACAUAAGAGCAUAAAUUGGAUUUGGUUCUUAAGCUUGUUUUGCAAUGUCAUACCUAAGUCUUUUUUCUUUAUACUUACCUCCCAUGUUACACUUGUUAGGAUAGAGCUCUUUAAAUUUAUUAUUUAUUUAAUAUGAUUUUAAUUUCAUUUUUAUCCAUCUUUGUCUCAUGCAUUAUAUUUGUACGAAGCAUUUUUGUUUUCAUCUAUUGCAAGACUUUGGUGCAUGAAGAGUUGAUGAUUUGUUCACGGCCAUAGUUUUAAAAAAAUUGAUGAUAUGCAAUAUUACAUAUCUGUUCACCUAGUCUAGUAAAUAAUUUCUACUAUAUCUAAUAAACAAAUAUUUUAUUGACCAACUAGGGGAUACAUUAAAUAAAAGAACAUAUAAUGAUGUACAUGAUGGGCAAAAAGUAACGGGGAAAUUGAUUUGCAAAAAUGAAAAUAAAGAUGAUUGUGAGUUAUAUUUUUAUUUUUUUAAAAAUUAUAUACGAAAAUACAACAUAAUUUGUAAAAGUGAAAAUAAAGAUGAUUAUAGGAUUGAUUUGUAUUUUAUAAAAUUAUAUAUAGAAUAUAACAUAUUUAUUCUUUUAUUUAUAUAAAAAUGGUCUAAAUUUAAUUUUAUUUUUAAAUAAAAAAGUGAUUUUAUUUGCCUGAAUUUGAAAAUUUAAAUGAAACUAAAAAAAUAUAUUUAUACUUUCAUUCUUUUUCUAUCAAUGGACAAUAAUAUAUUAAAGCAUAAAAUAAAAUAAAAAUUGUUUUCUUUUUCAAAAUUGGUGAGGGAUAGAGCAGAAAAUCUUUGUAAAAAACAACUACAAAAUCUGUACAGCAUCUUAGAUUUGCAAUUUAAUUUUUUUUCAAAAAGAUAUUAUCUCCAAAUUAAUCUUUCAUUCUCCUUCAUUUCCUUUUUUCUAAUAUCAAUAUAUUAAAACAUUAAAAAAAAAAUGGUUUCUUUCAAAAUUUGAUAACGGAUGUGGAGACCCCUAAUUUUGGAUCUUAGGAGAGAGAUUUUUUGGAGCACUUUUUGAGUACCUUCUAGACACUUCUAAAGACCUUAGCUGGGGAGGACACGUGGUCUAUCAGGAUGUCAUGAUAGUUUGUUGAGAGCAGCAGAGAUUCUUUGCAGGUGAGGACACGUUUCAGGGUGAUUGCUUAUUCUAUUAGGUUGGUUAGUGAGCCGUGAGAGAGAAGCGAAGGAGAGAGCGUUUUAGGAGAGCUGCAGGGAGGCUGGAUGGAAAAGAAAAAAAAAAGUUUUACAGAGAGAGUGGGUUAGAGUGAGCGGGGCAGGGUGAGGUUCCAGGCUGUGAGAGUGAGCUGGAGAGAGGGCAGAUUCCAGGCUAGCAUGAGAGUGAGCUGAAAGAGAGAGAGAGCAGAGAGGAGUAUUCCGGGUUUUUGGUGGAGGUCUUGGGCAGCAAAGAACCAGAGAGAGGGUGGUGAGCUGAGUGAGACGCGUUUCAGAGAAGAAAACUUAGAGAAAGGGAGAUUAGCAGGAGAGGAGGGAGCUUUGCUGAUUCUGUGAGCAAGAGAGGGUGCUCAACUUGUAAUUCACGUAUGUUUCUAAUUCCAUCUUUAUUUAUACAUUCAUUACGUUUAUCAUACAUUUUUGCUUUAUAUUAACUUUUUUAACAAGUAACUUGACUUUUUUUCAAAGACUUACUAGGAAUCACAUUUAAGAUUUUACUAUUUUUUUUCUUUACAAAAUAAAACUUUUUUUAAAAAUCAGUUUUCAUAUCUUGAUUUUUGUUAUGGAUUGACUAAUCAAUUGUCAUAAUUCUCUUUAUUUAUUUAAUAGAAACCUAACUUUUAGAACUUAAAAGGUAUUAUAGUUUUUCAUAUUACUUUUUAAUAGGUAACUUGACUUUUUCAAAGACUUACUAGGAAUCACAUUUAAAUUUUUUAUUUUUAUUUUUUUUUUCUUUAAAAAAUAAAACUUUUUUUAAAAAUCAGUUUUUUAGACAUAAAAAGUAAGACUCGCAAUUGAGUAGGAACACAUGCGAAAAAUUCGGAUUCAUUAGAAAGUUUAAAAAAUCUAUAUAAAAAGGAAACUACACAAAAUAAAAAGGGAAAAAUCCUUUAUCACACUUUAUUUUUUAAACAAAACCCAAAGGUUCAAGGAAAAAUGCCCUUGUUAGGAAAUUAAUUCUUAUAUUUAAUAUAAAAUUAUACAUUAAGUUUCUAUAGGUUUUACAUACUUCAAUCUUUAAAUAAAAUAAUAUAUUUGAAUGUCUCAAAUAGCCAUAUCUCCUCUUCUAUUUCUUUUCUUCUCUUUUGUAACUUGUAUAAGUUAAGGAUAUUUUUAUUAACAUUUAAAAUGAUGCGUUGGUAGAAAAACUUUGUGGUAAAAGCACGAAUCCUUCAUUUUGUGCAAAUGCUCUAAAUCUGACCCUCGUAGUGCCAUCGCAGACAUCACAACUUUUGAGCAAAUUGCGAUCAACUUGACAAAGGCCAAUGCCACUGAUACCUGAAAUUUUGUGAACUUAAAUGCACGACAAAAUAAUGAUCCUAAGAUCAAAGCCGCAUAUCAACAAUGUUCUUAUCUUUACGAAGAUAUAAUAGCCACCACUGAUGAUGCAAAAACAUCUUUGCAAGCUCUAGACUAUCAUGAUCUGGACACUGAAGGAGGAAAUAUCAUGGAUGGUGCAGACGAAUGUGAUCAACUUUUCACAAACCCUUCCCCAAUGUUAGAUAGAAAUAGAUUUGCUAGACUUUUGGGUGAGAUGAUUAUCAUAAUCGCCGAUGUUUUGAUUUCUAGAUGAUUAUGGAUUUGUUCUAGUCCUUUGAACUUGUUUCACCUUAUCCAUUGAUAUGUUAGAAGUUAUUAAUAAAUUUAAUUAUUAUAUUAGAAUUAUAUAUUUAGUUAUUAUAUAUUUAUUUAUUUAAUUAUUAUAUCUAUUAUUUAUUUAAUUGUUAUAUUUCUUUUUAAUAGUAAGAUAAUUAUAUCUUUAUUUUUUUUAUUAGGCCUAUUUAAAUUUUAAUGAUAUUAUACCAUUUUUCAAGAGAAUUCAUAAUAAGAAAUCUUAAAUUUUCUUUUCUCUUUUUCUUUUCUAAUCCUUUUUAGAUUUUAACAUGGUAAUAGAACUUAAUUUGGGAGGAGGCUGUAAAUUUGAGUCACAUCUACCUUAGACAUAAGAAAAGCUUCUAGCCAUCAAUAAAAAGUUGAGUUGCUUCAACUGAAUUCAUUUUACUCCGCCCCAAACAAGAACCAAUGAAUUUGAAACUAUUACCCAAUUUUAAGAAAUUUUGUGUCCGUUCUAUCUAAACAUAAGAACAUAAAUUGGAUUUGGUUCUUAAGCUUGUUUUGCAAUGUUUUACCUAAAUCUUUUUUUUUAUAUACUUAAAUCUCAUGUUACACUUGUUAGGAUAAAGUUCUUUAAAUUUAUUAUUUAUUUAAUAUGAUUCUAAUUUCAUUUUUAUUUAUCUUUGUCUCAUGCAUUAUAUUUGUACGAUCAUUUUUGUCUUCAUCUAUUGCAAGACUUUGGUACAUGAAGAGUUGAUGAUUUAUUUAUGACCAUAGUUUUAAGAAGUUGGUGAUAUGCAAGAUUACAUAUUUGUUCACCUAAUCAAGUCAACAAUUUCUACUAUAUCUAAUAAACAAACAUUUUAUUGAUCAGCUAAUGGAUACAUUAAAUAAAUGAAAAUAAAGACGAUUAUAAGUUUGAUUUUUAUUUUUUUUAAAAUUAUAUAGGAAAUACAACAUAAUUUGUAAAAGUGAAAAUAAAGAUGAUUAUAGGAUUGAUCUAUUUUUUAGAAAUUUACAUAUAGAAUAUAACAUAUUUAUUCUUUUAUUUCUAUAAAAAUGAUCUGAAUUUAAAUUUAUUUUUAAAUAAAAAAAAGUGAUUUUAUUUGUCUAAUUUUGAAAAAUUAAAUGAAAUUAAAAAAAGAAAAAAAAUAUACCUUCAUUCUCUCGAUGGACAAUAAUAUAUUAAAACAUAAAAAAAAAAAUGUUUUCUUUUUCAAAAUUGGUGAGGGAUAGAACAGAAAAUCUUUGUAAAAAAGAACUACAAAAUCUGUAUAGCAUCUUAGAUUUGCAAUUUAAUUUUUUUUCAAAAAGAUAUUAUCUCCAAAUUAAUCUUCUUCUCCUUCAUUCCUUUUUUUCUAAUAUCAAUGUAUUAAAACAUUAAAAAAAAUGGUUUCUUUCAAAAAUUGAUAAGGAAUAGUUUAGAAAAUCAAAAAAUGGUUUCUUUAGAAGUGUCUAGAGACCUUAGCUGGGGAGGACACGUGGUAUAGCAGGAUGUCAUGAUAGUUUGUUGAGAGCAGCAGAAGACACGUUUUUCAGGGUGAUUGCCUAUUCUAUUAGGUUGGGUAGUGAGCUAUGAGCAAGGAAGAAAAUAUCGUGAUAUUUUAAAAAUAUCAUUAUACUUCUAAUUAUAUUUUUAUGAAAUUUUUUUAUAUUUUUUUAUAAAUUUUGAUUUAGGUUUAUCAAUAUUUUUUUUCAAAAUAUUCGUCGAUAUAUCUAAUAUAUCCGUAAAAUUAAAGUAUCGAUAUAUCCGUGAUUACCGAUAUUUUCAUCCUUGACUAUGAGAGAGAAGCGAAGAAAAUAGGGUUUUAGAGGAGUGCACGAAGGCUGGAUGGAAAAAAAAAAAAAAGGUUUUGCAGAGAGAGUGGGUUAGAGUGAGUGGGACAGGGUGAGGUUCCAGGCUUUGAGAGUGAGCUGGAGUGAGGGCAGAUUCCAGGCUAGCAUGAGAGUAACCUGAAAGAGAGGGAGAGAACAGAGAUGAGUAUUCCGGGUUUUUGGUGGAGAUCUUGGGCAGCAAAGAACCAGAAGGAGGGUGGUGAGCUGAGUGAGACGCAUUUCAAAGAAGAAAACUUAGAGAAAGGGAGCUUAGCAGGAGAGGAGGGAGCUUUGUUGAUUCUGUGAGGAAGAGAGGGUGCUCAACUUGCAAUUCACUUAUGUUUCUAAUUCCAUCUUCUUUAUUUAUUCAUUCAUUACGUUGAUCAUACAUGUUUUGCUUUAUUUUAUAUCCUGAUAUUUUUUAUUCAUCUAUUGACCAAUCAAUUGUCAUAAUUCUCUUAAUUUAUUUAGUAGAAACCUAACUUUUAGGACUUAAAAAAAGGGUUAUAGUUUUUCAUAUUACCUUUCUAAUAGGUAACUUAACUUUCAUACCAUACUCGAUUUUUCAAAGACUUGUCAAAAAUCACAUUUAAGGUUUUUCUUUUUUACUUUAUUUUUUCUUUUAAAAAUAAAACUUUUUCUAAAAUCAGUUUUUCAGAUAUAAAAAGUAAGUCUCACCAUUGAGUAUGAACACAUGCGAAAAAUACGGGAUCCACUAGAUAGUUUAAAAAAUCUAAUAGAAAAAUACGGGAUCCACUAGCUAGUUUAAAAAAUCUAUGUAAAAAGGGAACUACACAAAAUAAAAUUUGUAGUAUAUGAUCUUAGUUUCUAAUUAAUUUUUUCUUCUUCCUUUCUUUCCUUUUAUUGUAUACAAAAAGGAAAAAUCCCUUUAUGACACUUUAAUUUUUAAACAAAACCCAAAUGUUCAAAGGAAAAAUGUCCUUGUUAGGAAAUUAAUUCUUAUAUUUAAUAUAAAAUUAUAUAUUAAGUUUUUAUAGGUUUUACAUACUUCAAUUUUUAAAUAAAAUAAUAUAUUUGAAUGUCUCAAAUAGCCAUAUCUCCUCUUUUCUUUCUUUUCUUCUCUCUUGUGUUAGGAAUUUGGGACACUUCCUAACAAUCUCCACCUUAGAACAAAUUCCAUGAAGUUAAUCUUCAAUCUCUCCAUGACACAAACCUUUUUGUAUCAUAUCACCACGAAAGAGCAAUCGACUCCAACUUCAGUGAAAAUUCCUUUUGUUUUCAUCUUAUGUGCUUUGUGAUCUUUUACUUUUCCAGAAAUCUUCAACCCAAGCUCUGAUACCAAUUGUUAUGCCAGCCAAAGCUAUGAUGCCACAAUGUUAGUUCAAAAAUACAAAGAUAAAACAAUCACACAUACGGUACAUGAGGUUUUAACGUGGUUCGACCAACCAUGCCUACGUCCACGGAUGAGAGAGAAUGAUUCCACUAUACAAUAGAGAAUAUUACAGAGGACAGAACCAAAUACAACUAUUGGGUUCCCGAAACAUCACAUGUUUCCCCACUCCUUGUAUCCAUACCCUACUAUGAGUCAUCUCGCUCCACAGAGUACCUCUCGUUCUUCUUCACAUCUCUAUCCACCUCGUAUAGUCUCUACAAGUCCAUCUCCAUCUUAUAACUUUUUCCCCUCAUGACCUAGAAUAUUUUUAGAGAUAUUUCCAACAAUCUUCCUUAUUCUAUAAGAAAGUCUAAUAUUACAAUAAUAUAUCAACCUAGAAAUAUUCUAUAUAAUAUUCUUUACAAAAAAUGAAUCUAUACUAAUUAGGUCGAAUUCUCAACCUAUGAGAAACAAAAAAUAGAGAAAACAUAUGCCAAAGAAAAACAAUCACACGCACAAGACAGUAUUUACGUGAUUCAGCAAUUUGCCUACGUCCACGGAGUUGCAGGAAUAUCACUAUUAUCAGGAAAGAAUACAGAGUACUUCAAUCGGCUACAAUAUUUUCCCUCUAUAUAUAACACGACAACCACACCACACUAAAAACCCCUAAUUACAAAAGGUGGUUCCACAAUGGGCUAAACGGUCCCAAAAGCCCAAGCCUUCGCUCCAUGGACUAAGACUCAGUAAAUUUCCCAUUAGAAAACCACACAAUAUUAUUCGGGUUGGGUCGCCAAACCGGAUCAAACAAAACUAGGCUCCACAAAGCCCGACAAAUCUCCCACUUGAAGACUAGUUCAAUCACCAACAUCAAACCGUUAUCCUCCAAGAAACAAUCCCUCAUCCCUGCAACUCAUCCUCUUGUCCUCAUGCUAGAAGACCAAUUGAAGCUGCGCACAGCUUCAACUUCUCAAUAGUGACACCCUUAGUCAACAUGUCUGUCGGGUUCUUAGAUCCACAAAUCUUCUCAAAUAUUACUAGUUUAUCUUUAACAAGGUAACGGAUAAAGUUGUAUUUUGUUUGUAUAAACUUCGACUUUGAAUGAAAAGCCAAAUUUUUGGCAAGGAAAAUUGCACUCCGAUUAUCACUAUGUAGAAUGUCUAUCUUCUGCUUCUUACCCAAUUCAUCUAAGAAACCAUGUAGCCAAAUCAUCUCCUUUCUAACUUCAGUUGCUGCAACAUACUCAGCUUCUGUAGUAGACAAAGUAACAAUCUUCUGUAGAUUUGAAGCCCAUGAUAUAGCUAUACCACCUAGAGUAAAAACAAACCUAGUAGUACUCUUUCUACUAUCAAUAUCGCCAUCAAAAUCAACAUCUACAUAACCCUACAGUUUCAAAAUUGCACCUGUGAAGCAAAGACAUGUAUCUAAUGAACCCUUCAAAUAUCUUAGAAUCCACUUGACUACCUCCCAAUGCUGUUUUCCAAGCAUACUCAUGAAUCUACUCACAAUUCCCACUGCAUGUGCAAUGUCUGGCCUUGUACACACCAUAGCAUACAUCAAGCUGCCAAUAGUUGAGGCAUAGGGCACCUUACUCAUAUGGUCUCUUUCUUCUCCUAUCUUCGGUGACUGUUCUUUACUUAAUUUGAAAUGACUACCCAAGGGUGUGCUCACUAGUUUAGCUUCAUUCAUGUUGAACCUGCUGAGACCUUUCUUCACAUACUCUGACUGUGAAAGCUACAAUGUACCAUUAGCCUUGUCUCUAAUGAUUCUCAUACCAAGGAUUUGCUUUGCAGCUCCUAAAUCCUUCAUUGCAAACUGUUUGGACAAUUGCUUCUUCAAAUCAUUAAUUUUCUCAAUGUCAAACCCUACAAUAAGCAUAUCAUCCACAUAUAACAGUAAUAUGAUGUAAGAAUUGUCAAAAGACUUAACAUAACAACAGUGAUUAGCUUCACAUCUCUUGAACCCAAUUUUAUGCAUAAAACUGUCAAACUUCUUGUACCACUGUCUAGGAGCUUGUUUAAGGCCAUACAAGCUCUUUCUCGGUUUGCAGACUAGAUUCUCUUGUCCCUGAACAAUGAACACUUUUGGCUGAAUCAUGUAAAGGUCUUCCUCCAAGUCACCUUGAAGGAAUGCUAUCUUCACAUCUAACUGCUCAAGAUGGAAGUUUUCUACAACCACCAUUCCCAGUACAAGUCUGAUUGUUGACAUCUUCACAAUUGGAGAAAAUAUCUCUGUGUAGUCAAUGCCCUCCUUCUGCUAGAACCCUUUAACAACUAAUCUGACCUUGUAACGUUUGCUACCAUCAUGCUCAUUCUUUAUUCUGCAUAUCCACUUGUUGUGCAAAGCCUUCUUUCCUACUAGCAAUUCAGUCAGUUCCCAUGUCUAAUUCCCCAACAAGGAAUCCAUCUCAUUCUUCAUGGCUAACUCCCACUUACUUGAAUUCUCAUCUUGCAAGGCUUCAUCGUAACACUCUGGCUCACCUCCAUUAGUCAACAGGAGAUAAUUUAAAACAAGUGAAUAACGCUAUGGAGGUCUAAUGUUCCUGGAAUAUCUACGAACUUCAACUACAGGUGUACUCAGAUCUACUUGUGAAUUUACAUUCUCCUUAUCUUCUUCACCCCCUUUUUGGACAGUAUUUUCAGUCAAUUCAUCUAAGUUGACAAACUCAGAUUUCUUUUAAUCUAUCUUUGUAACAUUUGACACUACAGUUAACCUGUCCUUGUACAUAACCUGUUAAUUAAAUAUCACAUUUCUAUUUCUGAUAAUUUUCCUAUUUUGUUCAUCUCAAAUCCUAUAGCCAAAUUUCUCAUCACCAUAGCUAAUGAAAAAACAUAUUUUAGACUUUGCAUCAAGUUUACUACGAGCAUCAAAAUCAAUAUGAACAUAAAAAACACAGCAAAAAACUUUUAAAUGUGAAAACUUUGCCUCUUUACCGCUCCAAACCUUCUCAGGAAGUCUGAACUUCAUGGGAACUGAUGGUCCUCGAUUUAUCAGGUAAGCUGCAGUGCUAAUAGCAUCGGCCCAAAAAGUUUUUGGUAGUCCAACAUGCCUCAUACUUCUAGCACGCUCAUUGAGAGUUAUGCUCAUGCGCUCAACCACACCAUUCUGCUGUGGUGUCCCAGGAAUGGUUUUCUCCAUCCUAAUUCUCUAUGCCGCACAAUACUCUCUGAACCCUCCAUCUAUGUACUCUCCUCCAUUAUCUAACCUCAAACAUUUUACUUUCAAACCUAUUUCUGUCUCAACCAUGACUUUCCACUUCUUAAAAGUUUCAAAUACAUCAGAUUUAUUUUUCAGAAAAUAAACUCAUACAUUUCUGCUUGAGUCAUCAAUAAAAGUGAUGUAGUACCUUGAACUUCCAAGGGAUGCAACCGGAGAAGGCCCCCACAAAUCAGUGUGUAUUAGUUCCAAUUUUUCAGCCUUCGGUGUCCUGCCAGUUUUCAAGAAGCUUACUUUUUUUUGCUUUCCUAAGAUGCAACUUUCAUACAUGUCAAAAUCAAUGGACUUCAAUUUUGGUAGUUUUCCUUUUGAUAACAACAUCUUCAUCCCUUUCUCACUCAUGUGACCAAGUUUGUGGUCAUAGGCUUGUAUCAGUACUUGCAUCAGCAACUGCAAUUGUGUCUCUUAGACAUGAGGUCAUAUACAGAAUACCAGUCUUCUUUCCACGAGCCAAUACCCUAGCUCCUUUUGUAACCUUCCAAGUACCACUAACAAAUAGUAGUGCAUGUCCUUCAUCAUCAAGUUGUCCAACAAAAAUCAGAUUCCUCCUCAGGUCAGGAAUAUGUUGAACCUUCUCCAGUAACCAAACAGACCCAUUGGGCAACAAUAUCCGGACGUCUCCCAGACCCACAACAUCCAAGGCUGAACCAUAAGCCAAAUACACCUUACCAAAGUCACCUGCAGCAUAAUUCUGUAUGAUUUCUCGGUGUAGAGUGGUAUGAAAUGAAGCUCCUGAAUCCAAAACCCAAUCAUCAAGUGGACUGUCUCCUGUACGAAGUAAUGCAUCUUGUACCUCUUCUGUUAUAGCAUUAGUAGAAUCAUCUUCAUUUUUCUUCUUAGGACUUUUGCAUUGCCUUCUAAAGUGACCUAUUUUCCCAUAGUUCCAGGAUUGUACUUGUUGGCCUAAUCUAGAUUUGCUUCUGUUCCGAUUAGAAUUUCUGGAUUUUGAUCUACCCCGAUUUGAAUUUAUGUCAUUACCUCUACCUCUUGUCUCAAGGUUUAGGGUAGAACCAAAUCCUAAGGUUUCGCCUACAUCUUUUCGGUGAAUCUCCUCAACCAGAAUUAAAUCUCGUAUAUCAUUGUACUUGAGCUUUUCCUUUCCCAUAGAAUUGCUUACUGCCAUCCUCAUUGCCUCCCAACUAUUUGGCAAAGAAGCCAAGACGAUUAGAGCACGAAUCUCAUCAUCAAAAUCAAUUUCUACAGACGAAAAUUGAUUUGUGAUUGUAUUAAAUUCAUUCAAAUGUUGUGUUAUUGAUGCAUUCUCUGCCAUCUUCAAAUUGAACAAUUUUUUCAUCAGAUGCACCUUAUUGUUUGCGAACGACUUUUCAUACAUACUGGACAAAGCCUUCAUCAGAUCUGCUGUGGUCUUCUCCUUUACAACAUUGUGUGCAACAGACUUAGAUAGAGUUAACUUAAUAACUCCUAAAACCUGUUUGUCAAGAAGCACCUAUUCCUCAGCCUUCAUACUCUCAGGUUUUGUCCCCAAAAGGGGCAGAUGCAAUUUCAUCCCAUAGAGAUAAUCUUCAAUCUGCAUCCUCCAAUAUGCAAAGUCUAUGCCAUCAAACUUUUCUAUUCCAGACGUCUUUCCUGCUUCCUCUGUCAUUGCUCCCACUCAAACCUAACCCUAGGCUUUGAUACCAGUUGAAGGGAAUAGGCCGAAUUCCCAACCUGUGAGAAACAAAAAAAAUAGAGUAAAUACACGCCAAAGAAAAACAAUCACACGCACAAAACAGUAUUUACGUGGUUCAGCAAUUUGCCUACAUCCACGGAGUUGCAAGGAUAUCACUAUUAUCAGGGAAGAAUAUAGAGUACUUCAGUCAGCUACAAUAUUUUCUCUCUAUAUAUAACACAGUAACCACACCACACUAAAAAAACCCUAAUUACAAAAUGCGGUUCCACAAUGGGAUAAACGGGCCCAAAAGCCCAAGCCUUCGCUCCAUGGACUAAGACUCAGUAAAUCUCCCAUUAAAAAACCACGCAAUAUUAUUCGGGUCGGGUCGUCAAAUCGGAUCAAACAAAACUAGGCUCCACAAAGCCUAACAUCUUGUAAUUUGUAUAAGGCAAGGAUAUUUCUAUUAACAUUUUAAAAAAAAAUUAGAAGGAAGUUAAUGAAGUUGACAUUUUUUAUAAAUCCUAUAAGUUAUAACGAGCUAAUUUGCAUUGGUGAUGUAAAAUUAUUUGUUUUCUCCAGUGUUAAAUUAAAAUAAAAUAUAAUAUAAUAAAAAUAUAAUACAUUUUCUAGUUCUUUAUAUUUAAUAUAUAUAUAUAUAUAUAUAUAUAUAUAUAUAUAUAUAUAUAUAUAUAUAUAUACAAAAAAAAAUAGCAAAGGAUUUCAUUAGAAAAUUUACAAUAAUUUUACCAAAAUUUGCAUAAAAAAUUUAAUUUUUUUAAAACAAUUGAAUAAUUUCUCUAAUAAACUCUAGGAUUUCUCUAAUAAUUUCACUGCAAAUGAGCCAAAGUAAUGAAACUUUUUAUUUAAAAAUUAUAUAUAAUUUUUACAGUGAAGUAUCAUUGUAAAUGUGCCAUUGUUUAAUCAAUCAUUAAAAUCCAAAUUGUUUAAAAUUUUCAAAAUCAUAAGAGAAACUACUUUUAAAAUAUUAUUUAAUAAAAUAUUAAAUAUAAAAUUACAAAAAUUUUAAUAAAUAAAAAAAUUUAAAAACCUUUCAUUUAUUAGAAAAGUACAUAAAACCAAAAUUUUUAUAUAAACAAAUAAAAGUUGAAAAAGUUAAAAGUUAAUAGAUUGAAACAAUGAAAAAUGGAUUAGAAUGAAAAAUGCAAUGAUAAGUAAGUAUAUUAAAUAGAUUUAUAAAAGAUUUUCCUUGUUUUUUAUAUCAUUGUUUAAAAUUUAUGAAAUUAGAUUCAUUUAAUCCCAAUUAUAUAUCAUAUUAAUUUGGAUUCAUUUUGAACUGAAAUUGAGAUUUAUUUUUUUAAGUAGUGAUUUUUUGUUUUUUACUUUUUAAAUUUUUCGAAAAAAUCAUUGUUGAUAUAUAUGGCUUUGUUUGGUAAUUAUUUUUUAAAAUAAUUAUGAAAAAAUAGUUUUUAAGAACAAUUUUUAAAAAUUGUUCUAUGAUGUUUUAUAAAAUAAAAGUUUAUUUGGGAAUCUAAAAUUGUUUUUAACCUAUUUUUAAUAUUUUUAAAUAUACUUUAGAAAUAAUUUUAUGUUCAUAACUUUAUUUUUAAUUGUAUAAUUAUUCUUUAAGACAACUCUAAAAAAACAACUUGAAACAACUGAAAACACUGGGUUAUGGGCCUGCACUUUCUGAGCACAUUAUUUUGGAUGCUGGUCUGAUUCCAAACACAAAAGUUUCUAAGGAUAGCAAAUUUGACAUUGAUACAAUUCAGCGUUUAGCCCAAUCUGUCACUAAGUUUGAGAACUGGCUAGAAGAUGUUAUCUAAGGUGAUCAAGUUCCAGAAGGUUAUAUUUUAAUGCAGAAUAAAAAUUUUCUAAUAUGAGUCAAAGCGUAGAUGCAAAGGAAGUUGCCCAAGAACAACCACUGCUUGGAUUGGCUUGUGUUUAACCCUUCCAAGUUGAGACCAUGUUUGCUAGCUCCUAAUGGCCUUGAAGAUUUCCUUCCUUAACAGGGUAAGUUUUUUUGCUUAAAUGUCCAUAGAAUUGAAUUUUAGCUACAUGAUAACAAGUUAUUUACAACAGAGAUGAUGAUAAAGCAGUUUCAAUCAUGUCACGCCAUCGGUAUCCAGUUGAAAUUUGUCGAGUUUUUGAGCGUACUGCCACUACUAAGUUGCAAGCAGCCCUCACAUCUCCCAAGGAAUCGGAGAGCAAUGAAGCAGUCAAGGCCAGUGAGGGUGGAAAUAAAGUGUCUGAUGCGCCUAGAGAGAAGCAGGGUAACCGCAAAGGUGUGAAGUCAUCUGAGCCAAGCAAAAAUACUAAUGAUGGUGCUCGUGCCAAGCAAGCGACCUUGAAGGCUGUUCUUGGAGAGGCACUGGGUUAUGGGCCUGCACUUUCUGAGCACAUUAUUUUGGAUGCUGGUCUGAUUCCAAACACAAAAGUUACUAAGGAUAGCAAAUUUGACAUUGAUACAAUUCAGCGUUUA
rnacentral:lncRNA from 1 species